rnacentral:lncRNA from 1 species
AGAUAUGAAGGUUACACCAAUUAGUUGAACAAAUAUGUCCAACGUAAAGCAUCUUAGUAACAUAUGUUGGAGACUAAGGCAAAGCAACAAAAAGUUUAGGGAAGAGAACAAUGAACAUAUGUAUUUCUUUCAGUCAGCAAUUUCAGAACAACUACAUUUUUACGAUGAUAAGCUCCUCUAGAGUAUUUUAUUGAUGUUAGAAGAAGAUUAAGUGUUUCUUCAAUUUCCGUUUUUUGAAAUGUAUGAUGACGCUUAAACCAAGUAUAUUAUGCAAUUUCUACCUCUGAUUCCAACAUUCCAACAAGUUUAAAAGUUCCCUUAACUGCUACAGCUACCUAUGCAAUAAACCAGAAUAAAUCAUUCAUAUGGAAGCACAUGCUAAGAUAUAACAUUUUCGAAAAUGGCAGCCCUUAUUGAAAUAUGCUUCUAAAUCAUCUUCUCCUUACCACUACGCAUUCUUAGAACACAACCAGAUGAUUAAUCACCUCAUACUAUGCUCCCUGAUGGACUUAUAUGAUGUGAAAUGUGCUUCUAAACCAUCUCCUUACCACUACCCAUUCAUAUACAUGCUGCUGCAGUAGUUAAGAGGACAAAACACAUUGAAAUGAAAAACCACCUCAUGAGAUGCUCCCUAAUUAUGUAAAAUCACCUAAAAAUAAUGAGGCUUCUAUAUCUACAUAGAAUCCAACGGGUUGGGUUAGGCAAUUUCAUGCAGUUAAACAAAUAGGAGGACACAGAGCAACAUAAUGAACAAACCCUGACACUUCUAAUCAGAUAAGGAGGAAAAUAAGAUCCUUGCCUGUUCUCUGAGAAGGAAAUCUAGCUUUAUCUUGUAGAAGUUGAUAUACCUCCUGCGCAUUCUCCUGUAUUUUUUCCCGAAACAAAAAUCUAAAAAUUAAGCAGACCGCUUGAAUAUAUUCCGGGAGUAUUUUUCUAUUUAUGCCAUGAAAUAGUAAGUUAUUUGCGUGGAAGUAAAGUAUACAGAAAUUUUAAGAGAAUCAAAAUUGUAAUAGCUAUGUGAUUAAGUAUCAUCUAAUUAAAAUAAAAGAAAUGAUGUCAGAAAAGUAAACUUACAUUCGCUGUUCAAGAAAUCUCCAUGAAGUUUUCCACAGUUUCUUAUGUACAUCAGAUAAAAUUGAUUUUUGGGCAUAGUGCCACCAAAGUUUCUGCCAUCCUGGUGGUUUCCUCAAUAAGGAAGUGGAGCAGGGACGAUACCGCCCAUACCUAAACCAUUUAAAAUGUUCUUAAAUCAGUAGUUCUUCGAAAAGUUCUGUAGUGUCAAAUAGUAGAGCUAAAACUCAGGAGAAAAAAAAAUACGAAUUGAGGAAAAGUUAUCGCUACCCUAAUGAAAGGCUUACCUCUCACGCAAUUGGCUGGUUUGCAAGUAAUCUAACAGAAUAAGAAUCUGCUGCAAUUGAAAUUCAUUCAGAGUCAUGACCUGAAACGCAUAAGUGGAAGUUAGAGUGAGUCAUGAAAAUAAAUCUUAGCUCUGAACCUAGUUCAGCAAUUUCUGAGAACUAACCACAUCAGUCAACUCAGCGCUGAUAGAAUACUGAGGAAGAUCGUCAAAAAUCUCUCCAGAUCGAUUGACCUAUGCAAAGAAGUGUAUCAGGCAAAAUGAAGAAUGCCUAUUUACAUACAGCACAAAAAUGCACUCAAACAAUAGCUGAUGCACACCAAUGUGCUUUCUGUACAAAUAUUGUAUCAUUGAUCAGAUCGCUGUAAAAAUCUUUCACCAAAUACAAUGUCCAUAUGCAGCUGAUGGUGACAAUUAAACGAAUUGGCAAAAACGGCAAUGUAAAUCAUUUCUAGUAACAUUGACUGAUUAAAAUGUCAUCAAAAUUGCGUAGGCCAUCAGGUAAAUCAAGAAAUAGACUCAGUACAGCAGAUAUAACAUAUAAAUGUGUACAUCUCAUUUUUAACAUAACCGUAAAGCUAGAGCAAGGAUGCAGCGCCUUGAAGCAGCAACAAAGAUUAGAUGCUAACAAAAGAUGUUAAAAGACAGCAAACCAAUGACGCUGUUUUAGAUCCAUUACCAAUAGCGUUACAGAAACAUGGACUGGCUUCAGUAAAUAACCAAAUCUAUUGCUUUGCAAUCUUGACUGGCACCAGUUGUCAAAACCUCUUUUUUCAUUAACACUUGGAAAGUCCAUGUUUCCCUCAUACAUGUCACAAUAUAUUUCCAAACCUUCAAUCUCCACAAGUAUAUUCACUUGCCCCCCUCUCACCCUACCAACUGAUGGCCUGAUAUUCAACAGAGACAUCAUGUCAAAUAUUUCAGGGUGCACAUAUAUCCACCAUGAUCUUAUCUUAGCAACAACAAUUUAGCUUAUGGAAGAAACAGGUAUUAAGGAAAUUUUACAGUAAGAAAAGAGACAGUUGGAAGAAAGUUAUAAUGGGGUAUACUCUAUGCUGUCUCACAAUGUGACUCAAAACACAUCACCUUACCAUAGUGUAAAGCAAAGCUACAAGGAAUCAAAUACGAAAGUGGAAUAUAUUUUUAAGUGAUAUAGAAGAAACAAGGCAACUGGAAAGAAAUUAAUGUGGGGUAUGCUCUCUGCUGUCUCACAAUAUAAUUCAAAGAACAUAUCCUUGCCAUAAAAAUAAAGCAAAGCUCAGAAUCAAACACAAAGUGGAAUAUAUUUUAAAGUGCCAGAGAAGGUGCAUAAAGAGAUUACCCAACUGAGUUUUGUUUAGUAACUGUCAAGCUUGAAAACCGCAAUCCUAAUACAACUUGCACCUGCGACAGCAGUUUAGAGUAAAACAUAUGAAAGUGGGAAAGUAGACAACACCAAACGAUUGUUCAAAUUGUACUCUAGUGAAUCGCAAGAAAGACUGAUAGUAAUUUAGAAUCACAAUGCUCAAAUAUUUAAAUCUAUCUAGAUUCAUAACCUCCAUGAUAAAUGUUAUGCUCUCACAAAUAAACCAAGAUCACAGAACGAUUAUCGAUGUAUACAAGUUUCUACAAUUGCAAUGGGAAAAUUACAAAAUACAAGCCUAUAUUCUAGCAAACUAAUUAAACAGAACAAGCAGAAGGCUUACUGAUUCAGGUUGUGCAUCGGAGUAUAAGAUGUGAAAGUUUCUGAUGGACACUUGAAUGUUAUCAAGAACCUAAGCCAAUAAAGAAGGAAAGUUAACAUAGCACAAAAAAAACAAAGACAAGAAUGAUAACCUCAUCCAAAAGCAGGAAGAUCUACACAUCCUUAAAAACCGGCAACAGACCAAUCAUAAUAUGAAAAAUGUAAUAUGCUAAAACUAAGGUUGCAAAAGGAGACUUGCGGAACAUAAUGUUACCUUGGCAGCAAUAAAUGAGAAAAAAGACUUCCCCGCUGGACUGUCUGGAAAAAGUAAAGAUUGAAGGGGUUGAACAAAUGUUGCAUUGGAGCAAUCUUAAAGAUAAAUAAGAAGGAUAUUUGCUCACCGACGCGCCUGGACAAUUUUGCUAGUUCUGCAGCAGCAAGCUUAGCUUGCUUACCAGCAAACUCUCUUUUCUCAACGACAUCUGAACUCCACUGCAAUGACCAUGCAAUAUAUAUGGGUUUAGAGGCAAACACUUGUCAUGUAUAGAAAAAAAAAGGCAACUAUACAAGGAAUUCACCUCUUGAUCAUUCCGUUGUGAUGCACAUAUAAAGACAUCUUCAAGCAUAAUGAUUAUAGGAUCCCUACCAAGUUUCUUCCAUGGAAUUUUAAUGCUCAAUUUCCCAACACGGCCUAGAUAAACAACAAACGAUUUGAUACAGACAAAACGAAAAAGCUGAGAAUCGAAACUUCAAUCGAGUAACUAUAUCACCUUGCUUGAGAGCAAUUGGAAGCUGCAAAUACUCAAACGCCUCAAGAAUCAGUUCCACGUUCUCCAAUAAGACUUCCCCUACAGUUAGAAGCACGAAAUUGUGCGUAAAUCAUACAAUAGAGUGAGAAUAGAGCGAAAGAGAAGGAGAGAAGACGUGCAAAUACCAUUCCAGAGUGUGAUCUUGAGCUGGUCUUUUUUAAUGUCUUUGAUGUAGCGACCUAAGUACCCUAACAACAGUUGAACAACUCCUUGCACAAUUCCUUCAAACAUCUUCAAUCAAUCACUAUUUCAUAUUCCAGUAAAGAAUUUUCCUCCGCCGGGAGAAGAAGAAAAGAGACGGUGGUCGGAGUAGUGCGAACGAGUCGAGGAAUAUCGUAGGGUUUUUUUCCCGUCGAAACAAAUAGACUUGUCUUCUUCUUCACAAGACUAAAAUUUCUUUCGGUUUAGUACCUUUCCUACCGAACCGGAUCAGACCAAACGUGCCUAAUGUUGAUUACGCUAACCGGCUAAUACGUAAUUUGGGUUUUUUUUUACUACCUUUUUUCCCUAAGAUUUUUCUAAACAAGUUUAAGAGAAACAUUAUUCAUUUUCUCAGUUGAAUGAUUGGUUUUAUAAUAUAUAUUUUUUUUGUGCAAAGAUUGGUUUUAUAUAUCUGAACCUUCAAUCAUGAAACUUUGUUUUUGUUUGUCAGAAAUCAUGAACCUUAACCCCUAAUCCCAACAUCUUAAACCUUAACCAUUCUAUAACCUUUGUCUACCUCAUAAACUCGCAAGAUUUGAACCCUAAACCCAUAUUCUUCAAAUCUAACCAUCAUCACCGCCGGAUCUUAUCCCGACUUAUUCUCACUCUUUGUCGUACACAUAUAAAGAAGUCGCACGAAAAAAAAUGUGAGUGAGAAAAUUUUUUGUCUACUUUUUUUUUUUUAAAUAGUUUGUUUCUACUAACACCUUUAAGAAAUGUGAGAAUUUAUUUAUUUUAUAAGCAAAGUUUCUCAACAUUCAAAUCCCCUAAACUAAUUUUAGUUAGUCAAAUGGAAAACAAUAAAAUCAUGUCUUAAAACUUUUGGAUCUAAAUACCGUAACCUCUUGAAUUAAACUCUUGAUGUUGCAGACUCUUGGGGAGAAUGUGAGUUUCGUGUGGUGGCGCUUUUAGCCUUCUUCGAUUGCUAAAAGUGUGACAAAGGAUGGUCGGUUUCAUCUAUAUAUAUGGCACUUUGAAGGCCAACGGCCUGGCUCCACGAUCAAGUGUGAAAUGAAGCAAAUUAUUGAAUUUCUUUUAUUUUGUUCUAGUUUAUGUUAUCUCGGUUUUUCGAAUUUUAUUCGGAUAUAAUUUUUUUAUGAGCAGAUGAAAUUUUAAUUAAAAUUUGAUCCAGAUAUAGUAGUACUAUCAAAAGAAGCUCAACUAUAUGACAAGGAGGUAUAUGCUUCGGUUUGAGCCUUGGAGACUUGGCAACAUUAACAGAUUCGGCAAAUGGUCUCAUGAUGUCCAGAUAAACAAUCUGAACAUUCAUAUUAGAUGAAAAAGUAAAUAAGUAAAAACAAAAAAAAAGUAAAAUACUAUGAUUGAGCAAAUCAGCUGAUAUCUUCUUAUAUAGACUUUUCCUAGUAAUGAGGCAAAGUAGUAUAAUUCAUAAAUUAUACCUAGGAAGUCUAGUUCUCUUGGAGCUUCCUUGCACCAUUCAAUAUUCAUCUAUCAUGGGGCUAAAAUUGUACUGUGCAUGGUUCUGCCCACGCAAUCCAAUCAACAAUGGACUUUGCAUUCUUUCUUUUUUUUUUUUUUUGUCGUCUAAAGAUCUUUAUUAAUGUAAGGUAACCAAAAACCAUCAAAACAAAACAUCCAAAAUCAAAAAACAGAGCCCCACAUAACAGAGCAUUCAUAGUAUGAAAAUCUUUCCAUCUAAAUCAUCUUCUCUUUUCCGCUUCAAGCCGUGAAUGUAACCAAGCCGGACCACCACGAGCUAGAUAUGAUCGCACACGACCGUCUCUUGUGACACUCAUAGCUAUAUCUUUUGCGAUUGAAUUAGCUUUUGGAGAAGACACCUUGAACACUAUUUUACCAAAGUUUGAUAUCACCCGAUGAAUCCUAUCAAGAUAGGAAAGAUAUCUUGGCCAGUUUGAAGGAUCAAGAAUAGCUGAAAUAGCAGCAUUACAGUCGGAACAGAUCUCAAUGUUGUCCAAUGCAACGCUGAAAGACUAUCCAAAACCCAUAGAAUACCUCUUAACUCCGCAGCAAUACAAUUAAUUACGGGCAUAAACAUGUCUCUCGCAUGGAACACUGCAUCUCCUUAGUGAUUCCUUACUAUCCAUACUCCACCACAUAUGAGACUCAUUUAACCAAGAAACAUGGAUAAUUUACAGUGUAAUAUAGCCAUGGAUAUUGGAGAUCAGAGUGCAUACCAUGAGCUUGUAAACACACCGAGACUGCUAGUGCACCAGAUAAAGCCCUCCAUAAAAAUAUUUUGAUCUUAGGUACAGUUUUAACAGUCCAAAUCUUCUCUUUAAGAACUCUAGACUCUUGUUCCUGAGCAGAUAAUGGUGUAGACACAGUUUGCACGUUGGACAACAACCAAUUGCCACUCUUAACCGUGUAACACCCAGACCGAUUAUAAGCCCAAAUGUAACUGUCAGCCACGGCUAUAUUUGGAGGAUACGACAUAAUUCUAACAAUAUCCGGUGGGAAAAACAGUUCCAUUAGAAGAUGAUGAUUCCAAGAGCCUUGGGGGGUAAUAAGGUUUGAAACCCAUAAAUCUAAAUCAUACAGAGACUGUUUGUUGAAAGGACGACACGGAGCAUUAUCGAAUAUCCAUUUAUCGGUCCAUACACUCGUCGUUUGACCAUUACCUAUGUUCUUUAUGAGACCUUUUCCAAGCGAUUCUCGACCAUGAAUGAUGUUGCGCCACACAUAAGAAGGUCUAGAACCGACCACAACAUCCAUAAAACCCUUCCGGUGAUAAUAGCGUGCUUUAUAUAAUUUGGUUUUGUGAGAAGUCUCCAAGCUUGUUUUGCGAGUAGCGCUUGAUUAAAAUCACCAACUGCACGGUAACUUAACCCACCUUGUUUCCUUGUUUUACACAUCUUUAUAGCAACAGUAUUCAAAGAUAUUGAUAAAUUUGAUGCACGGAAACCCGAAACUUGAUGCCUUUAUAGCAACAGUAUUCAAAGAUAUUGAUAAAUUUAAGGAUCAGAGGAGGUGAAGUCUCAACAUAUUUUCCUUUUACAACUCCACAUUUUCAGAGAAAAGUUACUUAUCAUGAGAGAUUCCUGAUGUUGUUGUGCCUUUCGUUUUUGGUUUGGGAAUUGGCUUUCCAUGGAGACAACAAGGCCCAUGAUAAUAAGGUCAGAAACUCCAAAGUAUGUAACACACUAACUUAAGCAGAACUAAUGCUUCUAUGGUGACAAUGAUUUGUACAUCAUUGUAAUUCGGUUGGUUGCCUAUGGUGGAUUUCUUAAUCAGAGUUGUUAAUUGGUUUAGCAGAUACUCUUAUUCUUCACACUGGAUAUGUGAUUUGUUAAAAAUGUUGCACAUGAAACGAAAUAGAUAAAGAAAAGAAAAGGAGUAACUUAUUUACUGAAAACCUGCAAAAACCAACGACAAGCAAAAUUCAAUCCUGAAACUUAACUGGGACAAGGCUUAAAAGGUAUCAAAGUAUAGCCUAACAUAGAUAGAAAAAAAGAAGCAAGUUUCAUUCAAAACACAUGAGAAUGAAUACUCAAAACAAAGAUCAUUAGUCAUUACUGACAGAAGCAGCACUCCACAACCUUAGAAAUGAUCAAUACCGCAAGAAGAAAGACAAAGCCGCCCACAGCCCACAUAGAAGCCUCAAACCCCACAUAAAUAAGAGACUCCACGGUGGCCCCCAACCUUAAAUUACAGCUACAAUCUACUACAAAACCUAAUGUAAUUUUUUUUAAAAGAAUGAACUACCUCAAAAAGAAUUUACCAUGUAAUCUAAUUAAACAAAUUAAAAUAAUUAAUAAUAUCUUAAUAAAAUAAUUAGCUUAAAUCAUUAAAACCCCAAAAUGGAAUUAAUUGUGGGGACCAUUACUUGUCUCCUUUACGUGUCCCUCUUAGAUAAUUAAAAACCCAAAAUGGAAUUAGUGUAUUCCUUUUUCGAGGGAAAAACGAACAAAAAAACAUAACAAAAAUAAGUUUAACCAAAAUAAAUAAUAAUAGAGCUUCAGAACUUCCAAAAUGUUUUCCGCCUUUAUAUUCAAAAUAAUAGAGCUGUACAAUAAAUCACCAUAACUUUUGUCAAAUUCCUACAAAAUAGAAGACUUCAAAUCAUGAAAAAAAACUGACAGAUAACUCAAAUAAAAUAUUAAAAAUGAAGUAUUUACUUGUAGCACUUGUGAGAAAAAUGGCCAUGUCUAUAAGGUCGGAUUUGGUGGCAGCGACAUUUAACUGGCUAUCGGGAAUAAGAGUUGAACGUACAUAAUUUGAACAUAAGUCAAAAUAUUUUUUAUUCUUACAUCAAAAUUUCUUAGUUUGAAAAUUUCUUACGUUUUCUUGUUCAUCUUCCAUUUAGAAAGAAGGAAUAUAAUAUUAAAAUAAAAUAAAAUGAUAGACGAAGAAAACUAAAGAGAGACACGUGAAAGAGACGAUUAAUGAUCUUCAUAGUUAAUUUAAUUUUGAGUUUUUUAAUGAUUUAACAUAAUAUUUUUUAUUUAGAUAAUAUUAGUUAUUUUAAUUUUUUAAUUAGAUUACAUGACAAAUUCUGAUUAGUUAAUUAAGAGGCCCAACACCGGCGUGAAGCAAUUCAAAAGAGAGAGGACCCAUUAGACCAUCGGUAAAAGCUCCCUAAAUACAACCCAUUGUGGUGACUACGGCGGCAACUUCUGUUUUGACAACUAAGACUUGAAACCAGUUUCAAUCUCCUUGAAUUUGACUUGAAACUGUUGAAUUGGAUUCUGUUGAUCCUUCAUUAAGCUCAUCAUCGCCAUUGUUUCUUCCUCUUGUCUCCUUCUCCGUUCUUUCCCCAUUUGUCUCUCUUCUUAAUCUUAAUUUGUCACACUUUUCUUCUUUCUCCUUAUCUCCCUCCUUUUUGCCGUUUCCGAAUUUCUACGAUGUAUUGAUUGGGCCAUCUUAAUAGGCACAUAGGAUGGUAUUAGAUUACUUUACUGGCCCAAAAGAUAAUAGCUACAUGUUUUUUUUUUAAAUGUUAGAGUAUGUUGUUUUUGUAGAUGCCAACGACCAUCUAUCUUUAAUUCAUUUUACAAGUUUGUAUUCAGCCCUAAAAUCUGUAACAAAAUCUUAUGAUAAAACCUUAACAUAGUUAUAUAUAUAUCUAAAACAAAUGAUGGUAGCUUUAAACAAAAAAAAAAACAAAUGAUGGUAGCAUAUCUUUUUAGAAAAACCUAAUAAAACUUUAACAUAAUUCUAUAUAUACCCUAUAAAUUCUCCUAUAGACAAAAUAUCCUCUGUAGCACAAAGGUUUAAAUUAAAUUCAAUCUUCCAUUUUCGGGUUCAAAGCUCGGCAGCGGAAUGGAUGUUUCUAGUGUCCGUUUAUGUUUAGGUGUAGGGUUUAGGAUUUGGUUCUUGAAUCUCUUAUGUAUGACAGACAAUUUAAUAUUUGGUUUGUUUUCCCUAUUAGUAUCUUGAAUUCCAAACAAUGUCCUUGCUAGUCAUUAGUCUGCCUUGCUACACUUGAUAUUCAAGUAUUUUCAGUGUAAAAAAACUUUGACAGAUUUAAAGGUAAAAUGGACCAAAAAGACAACAAAAAAUCGUUUCAUAAUAGUUUCGAAGCUUCCAAAUUUUGACAUCCGUUGAAAGCCUUCCGAAGCACCAAAUCAAAAUAUCUUGAACGCUAUGGAAAGCUAGAAUAGUCAUGAUUCGCCUUGAAGUCAUCUUUGCAGAUGAGGACUUGGGCAAUGGAUUCUAUUCAUAGUCUCAAGAUGAAUAGGGUCAUCUUUGCAUCUGAGGCACAUGAUAUUUCCGGGGCUAUUGCAAGACUUAAAGCAUGGCUGUCUUUCACUCAACAAGUAAUGGAGAUUAGCCAUUUUUAGGAUAAGCUUAAAGAUUGGAGGCUGGAGGUGGAAAGUGCUUACUCAAAUAGAAGCUCUUCUCUCAUUGCGCAAAGUGUUAUUUCUAAUGCAAGAUUUCAAGACUAUGUAGCUACGGGUCAUCAUUGGUGGUUACAUAGCUAGGGUUUUUGAAGACGAGAGACUUGCCUCUAUUGCUAUUUGAUGUUCCUUUCAGUGGUCUUUUGCUUUGACUAAGUUUUUGGAUAUUUGGAGGAGUUAAUUCGUUUCCCUAAGCUAGUUUCAUCUUGAAUAUUCUUCAAGAUUGGUUUGUAAUGGUUGCUUACCAUUUCUAAUAAAUUUAUCCAAGACGGAAAAAAACAAAAAACAAAAAUUAGUACGGAAAAAACAAGUAUAUAACAAAGAGCUGUGUAUAAGCCUUGGUUUGAGCCUUGGAGACUGGCAACAUUAAUAGUAGAAAAGGAAAGUAACGUUCUUUUGUGGUUGCCAACAAUCAGUAUGCAUUGAUCACCAUCACUUGAUGUAAGCUUUACGUUGUAUAUGACGAUGCUCAUCCAAACAUUCGGUUGCUGCCUGAAACACACACCUCUUCUCUAAGCACUCUCACAGCUUCUGUGACUCCAUCCUGAAAUCAUCAAUUUUUUGGAUACCCUAAAACUAUCAGUUGCCACAAAAUACUCAAACUAUGAAAUAGAACACUCCAUGGGAAGAAAUGAUAAUAAACUGAUCGUAACUGGUUACCUCAAGAGAUAAUAUUUCAGCAAUUUCCAUCGCACAAGCCCUACUUUUUGCAGACAGUGCAUCGUAUAUGGCUUUUGCUACCACUUGUGCAGCUUCCAUGAUGUUUUCAUCAUUUGGUUCCUCUAGAAGCAGGUGGUUUCUUUUCAAUGGUUGAGGAGCAACUCCAAGCCAAGACAUCUUUUCUGCCCAAUAGAACUGAUCCAGCAUAAAUGGGCAUAUGAUCUGUAGAAAGGCAUACACACACAUUAUGUGGUCACUUUUUGGCAUUACAACUUGAAAUUGAUAAAGCUUUAAGAACGUCAAUCAUCAUUUGUAACCAAGCAGUGCACAAAACUAUGGUUUAUGAGCAAGUACUAGUAAAGUUUGUAGCAGAGUAAUCAUAUAUCAUACAUUUUUGAAGGACCAUGACAUGUUCUUCUGAUGUACUAGUUACUGUACAGCUAAAUUUCUACUGAUCCUUCUAGACAAACAAUUACUUUUACCAUUAUAUAUCAAAGAUCUAAUAAACUAACAUACAAACACAAACCUGCGGGAUUCCAGCCUGUAAUGCUGCAGCAACAGAACCGCUGAUUUCCAAAGGGGACAAAAUUCAUAUAGAAAGACAAGCAAAAAUCAGUUUACGUGUAUUUAUAUGUGUCCAUGUUCACCAGGAAAUGGUAUCCAGCUGACAUUUUCACCUGCCACCAUGAUGAAUUGCUGCAGCGCAUCUUUGAAACAUCCACUUGUAUGGCACCAUACUAAUUCAGAGAGACAAAAAAUUAAGUAGGUUAUAUGGUCACAGUGUAAUGUAGGUUUUGUCAUGUCCAAAUACAAUGAUCUUUUAUUGUAAAUAAUGGCCAACUAAAUAUUGGGCAAAUUUGUGCUCACCCAGGGAAACAGAAAAGCUUGCCGUUGAAAAUAGAGAUUCCUGCAUGUAACGGUUGUUUCUCACUUGAAUCUGAUCUAUUAGCAAUGGUCCAAAUUGCUGCAUCUAAAGGUCCAUAACCUGCUGUGAAAAUGAUAAAUCUGUAACCUGUAAUCUGGAUAACAGAUUGGAGAACUCGAAGAAAGGCUAUGGGAUCCCUUACAAAGCCCAUGCUGCAAAAGCAAAGAGAAAAGUUACUACCGUACACUAAUUCAGCAUGGGUUAUAUAAUAUUUGAUAGAAUAAGUCUCAGUCUUCUUCUGAAACAAAAGGUGUUGAAAACAUAAUCAGAAAUGAUUCAGGGGGAUCAACUUAAAUUUAGACCUUCCAACAGAACUCAACCCUACAAAGAUAGGCAGUUCUGGCUCACAAGACGAUAUAAAAGUAUACAACUCAGAGUGGUUUGAGCAUGUAUGGGAAUCGUCUGUACCCAGGCGCCCUGUAAAAGGAUUGUCUCCACACUUGUUGCAUGAAAACUGCCAUUCAUUGGGCAGAAACCAAAAGCCGCAAACUCGAACGCUCAAGGGCCAGUAAUCUGUUAAUAAGAAUAAAUGAAUGCAGUGAAACGCAGAGAACGAAGCUUUUUCAAAUCAAUGACGAUUUACACUGAGAUUUUAUAAUGUGUUCCAAGGAGUCAAGGAAUAAAAACAACUGCGCGUCAAACAAGAUUCAUCUUUAACUAUGAAUCUGUUACAUUCAAUUAGUUUCUACCCCUUUCUAUCAAAUGUAAAACAGACAUCCUUUUAAAGUUGGGUCUGUUUUAACCUUUUUCUUCUCUGGUAUAAAGUUCCAAUCACAUAUUUUCUCAAGAAUUUAUAAAUGGUAAGAAUAUAGCUGCAAAAUAUACCCAAAAGAAAGAAGAAUAAAACUACUACCCAGAUAACUUUUUUUAAAGAAGAUGCUAGCAAAGCACAGAAAAAUAUUUGGUAGACGCGACAAAUAUCCGACAUACCAGGGCAUUCGACGAUUUCUUUGCUGAAACCAUACCUGUCACAAGGAAAAUACGUAACAGGUCACUUACAAACUUAUGCAGUUUCAUCUGGGUUUUACAACUAAAUUACUUAAAUUUCAAAGUUCUUAGUAUUUAAUCAGAUAUCAGCCAGUGUUGGACAUAAAGUGAGAAAGUACAUUAAAUAGAUCAAGUAACCAAAAAAUACUUAGUAUAUGAAGAUAAAAUCGUGAUGGCAAGAUAGAUUGCAAAGUUGAUCAGCUUUUACCACCAAGUAAAUUCACAACUCACAAGACCAAGGGAGAUGGCGGCCGGCUACGCCAAAUUGGAAGGUCUGUUACUGGAUCCUGCAUCCAAUGAGUAAAUCGGGUGACAGUUCACACUAUCAUUUUUCACAAUAAAAUGUAACAUUCUAGGUCUCUAUGUUUAGAAAAUACAUACUGCAAAAGGGUAACAACUUAGGUUGAGUUCCUCGUAGCGCCACGAUCCCCAUUCUUCAGUAAAAAGAGGCCACAUCCAAUGAGUUACAUCACUCCAGCUAACCUGCAAAAACACAGACACUAGAAUGUUUCAGGAGAAAAUAACACCAAUUGCAUGUUUGUAUCACAAUCAUAUGGAAUACCUUGCCGAUGGGGGCUUCUUUCAAGUACUUGUACAAAUCUGGGAGUUCCUUCCUAAACUGUCUUUCAAAGCCUGAUGGUGGACUGUACAAAAGAAGAAUUGCAAGUGAUCAUCUUCCAUUUCCAGGAUGUCACACUCAUACUUGUAAGCUACAAAGUUACCUAUACGGAACAACAUAAGGAGCCGCUACCACACAAGGGAUUUGGAAAAGUUCUGCAAGGCUCCAUCCUUCCUAAAUGCACAAUCAGAUGAACCACAGUUAGUAACUCGAGAUAAAGCAGACACAAUCAAUCCUGGUACAAAGGAGAGAGUAUUAAGCAGAUGUACCAAUGCAAAGAAAUUUAUGACAACGAAAUCACCCUCCAUACAAGGACCCUUUCCGAAAAUGCUUUUGAAUGCAGAAUGACACUCUUCUCUGUGUUCCCUUUUUAUCCUUUCUUUUUCCUCCAAAAAUAGUUUCUCUGAUUGAAACCAGAAUUGAUGAAUGGUUAAAGCUAAGUAAGAAGAAGAAAACCAUAUUUGAAGAAGAAACUAAAAUCAGAGUAUUGACCUGCGGCGUUUUGAGUACCCUGAGGUUCACUAGACAGGGCAGGAGGAGAAUUGAUAGGAAGAUAGGAAACGUUUGCUUUGUUCAAGUGAGAGCUUAGGUUCUGCAACAAAUCAACCUCUAUAUCUUUGAUUCGAGAACGUAGUUUCUGCAAGUCGAGAACUUUAUGAGAAGAAGAAGAAGAAAAAACCAAACCUCAUGAGCCAAAUGUGACAUCAAAACCACAGAGUAGUGUUGCUGAACACGAGCGAAAGCUGCAGCAAUGGCCUGCAAAAACAAAAAACCUUCUUUGGUCUCGCUUCCUAAGCCAGACCCCAAUUAUGAAUCGAGAUACUGAGAGUAGAGACAGAGAGAAUACAGCGAGAGGGUAGACAUCGCCUUUGGUACCGAAAGCCAUGAAGAGAGCGAUGGCUUUCCUUCUCUCCGGUUCCUCCUCCAUGGUGCUCAAAUGCUCCGAUGAAGUGACAGAGCGAUCACCAGUGAAGUGCGUUUGCAACAUUUAAAGGUGCGUUGAAAAACAUUAGAAUCGCGUUUUAAAGACGGUUGCGUCUCACAACCCGCAAAUCCUGCGUUUUUGCGGGAUGUUGCGGUCGCUAGCGUUUAAAACCAAUCAUAGCAAUCAUUUAAAGCAUUCCAGACAGCUCUAUACCGUUCAAAAUUACUGAAUUUCAAAAGCUCUUUUCCGUAAACGUUUGAGGUUGCGGAGGAUCACAAACGGAUGCGGGCAGUAGCGAUUCGAAAAAAAAAAAAAACAAAUAAAUUUCCUUAAAAAUAUUAUCAAACCCUAUAUACUAGUAUAUAUUAACGUUAAUUCUCAAAAUCAUGGCGUCAAACCAAACUGAAGACAAAAGAAAAAGUUUUGACAAUUUUGAUCUGCCAAAAAAAAGUUUUGGUUUGCAAAAUGUAUAUACUUGAAACACUGCUAUCAAUUUAAGAUCGAUGUCCUUGGUUCUAGUCUUCUAGACACUCGUUUGUAUCAUCAUGUCGCAAUCCACUUUUGAUGACAAAAAAAGAGUCUCAUAGCUCUAUAGAAGAAAACCAUCACUUUUGUUUUAUACAACAAUCAGAUAAUGAAAUCGAUCUCAGCUGUAGAAUGUACACAUCUCUUGUUAAUCUUUUUUCGGAGACAUUACUUUGGCAUGUGAAGAACACAACGCAGACACUUUCCAUCUCUCAUGAGAUCAAAAGCUUUGUUGAUUUCAUCAAACACCAGGUUAUGCGUAACCAAUUCAUCGAUCAUAAUCUCCUGCGCCACGGAAGAGUGAAAAUGUAAACAAACUGUUUCAUCCACUAAAAGUGAUUUUGCUAAUGUAGCUGCACGCUUAUAUACCUUGUUCAUGUACUUUUCAAUGAGUGAAGGAAGAUCAGAUUUAGGCUUCCAACCACCAAAUAGAGUCCCUUUUAAAGAUUUUCCAGAAAGGAAAAGUCCGUAAUGAGCUGAAACUUCAGGCUUCACUUUCGGUACACCUAGAGUAACCGUCAUUCCCCAUCCCUGAGAUAUUCACAUUGAAAAGGUUUCAAAAAGGCAUUUGUAUACAAUAUAGUUACAAGGUGGGAACAAAUAGAACUGAAAUCUUACAUCCGAGCACGAUUGUAAAGCAGUUGUAGCUAUUCCUGUGUCACCAACACAUUCAAAUGAGAAAUCCGCACCUCCUCCAGUCAUUCUUUUGAUCACCUAAAAUCCCAACGCAUCAGUAUAAUUUUCUACACCGCCGAUUCCAAUGUCUUUAGUUAUUGCUAUGAUAAGCACAAACCGGAGAUACUGAAAUUACCUGGGGUAUAGGUUCAGAGAGGUCAUUUGAAUUGAUGAAAUCCGUGACGCCAAAUGUCUUUGCUGCAACAAAUAAGAAACACUCAAAACCAGUCCAGAAACGUGUUAUAUCUUAAUGAUGAUAUACCUUGUUCAGCCUUAGCUGGAUUUAUAUCAACCCCAAUUAUUUGAGCUGCUCCUCUGAGUUUGGCACCUUGAGCAACCUACUCAUAAGAGAUUAAUCCCACAUCAGACUCCAUUAGCACAAAAGCAUCAAAACUUCUGUAUCUAUACUUACCGAAAGACCGACAGUUCCAAGACCAAAUAUCACAACACUUGAACCUUUUUGUACAUCAGCAACAUUCCACGCUGCACCAAGACCUAAAAUUACACCCAAUAUUCUCAGUAUUGACUGUAAAUAACUAUUAGAAUUUAAUCAUUUUAAGAUAUUAUUUUUAACUACCUGCAGCUACUCCACAGCUUAGCAGACAAAUUUUGUGCAGAGGUGCAACAGGAUCGACUUUGACAGCACAGCCAGAGUGAACCACAGUGUAUUCGCUGAAACUUGAAACCGCGCAGUAAUGGUAAACAGGUUUGCCUUUGAUGGUGAAGCGUGUCUUCUGAUCACUAUGCAUCAAACCUUUCCUCUCCAUUCCAAGAACCUGACACAUAUUACUUUUCCCAGAGAUGCAAUGCCGACAUGACCCACAUUCUCCAGUGAAUACAGCGAGCACAUGAUCUCCUUUCUCAAACUCGGUUACACCUUCUCCAAUGCUCUCUACUAUACUGCAGUAACAUCCAUAGACACGAUGCUAGGAUUCAAACCAGUAAACUCUUUCUUUACUCAAUUCACAAAGAAGUACACCUUAGAAGCUACUAUUAACUAUAAAAUUCUCUAACUCUCGACUGAUGCCGCAAUGCCUAAACCAAGACUCUAGACAAAUCCAGAAUGUCCCCCAGCACAGUCUCUUCGCUCUUCUAUAAACCAUCACCUCUCAAUUAACUGGUAAGGUUUGAUCCUAAGCUGACCAAGCUAAUUACAAUAGUCCUAUACUAAACACCGCAACAACGCUGCUAAAUCACACACUAAGAACAACAUUAGAGCACUCAAUACCUUAUCACAUUCUACAUAUCCGAAAUGAAGCUAAUUUUCUUAACUUGUUCCUAUGCUUGCCUAAUCUAAAAAAUGAGGUUAUAGACAAAAUGUAACGUACCCUGCAGCUUCAUGGCCAAAUAUUCGAGGCAAAAGAGACUGUACCAACAAAUGGAGACUUCAUCAGAGACACAUACUUAUAAAGCCAGACUCAUUAACAGGUUAUAUAGUAAAGAAGAGAAACUACAAACCUGAGCUUCCCAAGCAGAAAGAUCACUACGACAGAGAGAUGUACAUACAACUUUAAUUCUGAUCUCAAGAGGUUGAGGUGGACUCACUUCAACUUCCUCCAUAACCAAUGGCUCACCAGCACGCCAUGCCACCGCCGCUACAGAAUUUCUCAAUCAAAAAACCUAAUCUUUCAUCAACGAGAACAAAAACAAAAACCCUUUUUUUACCUUUGCAGGUUAUGACUUGAGGUUGUUCGAAGGAAGAAGAAGAAGAAGACGACAUCGUUAUCCCAAAUUUUCUUGCUUCAAGCACAAAAUGAAGAAACCUGAAGAAGAAGACGAAGAAACAGAGCUUCUUCACCUAACACCGAUCCUGAAGAGGAAGAAACAGAGGUUCUUCACCUAACACCGAAAUCACCAACCACCAUUGAGCUUAAGUGAUCCAAGAAAAAAUUAAAAAUGGUGAUUUUACAGCUUUAGAGGUCCCACGUUAGAUGCAAGUUAUUCUCGCCACCAACCUUUCGUUAAUUAAUCAUACUAAUCUUGCAAUGGAUUCAAACAUUUCUACUUUAGUUUCUUCUGCGUUCGACAUUCUGGUGGAAUUUGUCACGCCGUAAUUACAAGAAAAAAGAAGAAAAAAAACGAUGACAUGAGUGAUAUGGGAGAGCAAUUUUUGGGUUAGCUAAGGCAGACAGAGAGAAGAAUAUUAUUGGGCUUAUAGUGGGCUCGUUUGGGCUUAUCUUACUUCAUAAUGUUCAUGAUAGGUUAAAUUAAAAAACCGAAUAGCCUAUAUUAUGAAUGAAUAUUCUCACACCCUAGCACAUUGUUAAUUGUCUUGUAUAUUCUUUUUUUUUUUUUCUUUUUUUUGCUAUGGAUAUAAAUAUCAUUAAGGGUCUAACUGGUUUAAACGCAGCGGUUGCGGUUGCGGUUGCGGGAGUUUGCAGAAGCGGGCGGUUGCGGUUUCAAGCGUUACCAAGCGUUUUGAACGACUGGUUUAGCGUUUGAAAAUGGAUGCGUUUUCGGGAGUUUUAUGACUGGUAAAUCAGCGGUUGCGGUAGCAGUUAAAUAAAAAAAUGACCAAAAAAAUAAAAAAAAUAUUACAAAAAAAGAAAUAAAAAUACUAAUAUAUUAUUAUGAUAAUAUUAGAAAAAUUGAACAUGCUUAAUAAUUGAAACCAUAAAUAAAGUACUAAAUAGUUAUUCAAAAUAAAGAAAUUUUGUAAUAAGAUAGUAUUUUAUACUGGGUUAACACCAAAAAUUGCAUCAAGUAAUGAGGCAAACUGUAAAUAACGUUGAAUUCAAUCAAAAAGCAAGUGAUUUUCUAUUCGAGAAAAUAAAUCGAAACAUAUAUUCAAUCAAAAAGCAAAGCAAUACAUAAUGAAAAAAAAAAAAAGAUGCUAAGAAAAAUAUUCAAAGAGUUACACAUGAGGUGAUGAAUGAAUAAAAUGAUAUAUGAUACUUACGUUUGGUUCUUGAUUUUCAUCAGUUUGAGUGGAAGACAUUGAGAAAAUAAAAUUUUAGAAUAUUGAUUAGGGUUUAUGAUGAGAACGUGAUACAAAGAUGAAAGAUACAUAUAUGAUAAAUAUAUUUUAUAAUAAUUAUAAGUAAAGGUUUGUUUGUUUGUUUUUUUUUUUUUUUAAAAUCCAACCGCUAUCGCCCGCAACCGCAAACGCUUGCGGGAAGGAACUUUUGAAAUUCAGCGAUUUCGAGCGGUUUAAAGCAGUAUGGAGCGGUUUCUAUGAUUGGUACCAACCGCUAACAACCGCAACCGACCGCUAGCAACCGCUAGGAGGGUGCUAGCGGAAAAACCAAUCAAGUCCUAAGAAAUGAAAAGUUUAGGUAUUAAAAAAGAUCAUUUUACCUAUAUAUUUGAGAUCUUGGCAAAAAAGAAUAAAAACAAAGUAACAAAUGAUUUGGGUACAAUAUGGGAGAGCUUACUAUAACUAUUCUUUUACUUAAAAAAAAAAAUAAUGUUUUCAUAUUUUUUUUUUCUUUAACAACUUUUCCAUUGAUACAGUCAUACAGACCCAACUAAAAAAAAGAAGACGAAUUACAAGGAGAAUUGGAGAAACAGACUUCCACAUUUGCCACCAUUUUUUUUUCAUAGUUUGUUUCAAAAGAGAGAGGUCCGGACUCUGGAGGCAUUAAUUAGUUGAUGAGGAGAAAGGCCAGCCACGAAAACCUCUUAGAGCAUCAUUAUAGAUAGUUUCUUAGAGAUAGAUCUUAGUAAUAUUUAAAUAAUUUAUUUGUAAAAGUGAUUAUUAAGAGAUAGUAUUUUUGAGUUAAGAUUUUUGUGUGAUUAAUAGUAGGCUCUUAACAUGUGGUUCUUAGAAAAACAAAUAUUAAUAUAAAAAUAAAAUUUAUAAUUAUAGAAAAUUUAAUAAUUGUUGCAAAUUAAAAAAAAUAAAACAUACAUGAGAUACAAUUCAUAACAUAAAUCACAAAUAUUUUAAACUUAAUUUCUUCUAUAUUUUGUCCAUAUAUGUUCGACCAAAUCAUUUUUCAAUUGUUGAUGCAUACCUCGAUCACGAACUCGAGCUCUAUUAUCGAAGAAAUUAGAAGGCGUAUCUGUAGAAUAUGUGAAAUCCGCUCAAUCAAAACGUGACACGUGACACCUCUUAGGUAUUAAAGUGAUUUAAAUUAAAUAGUUAGUACCUUAAUAAGCUAAGGAACGUUCCUUAGCUUAUUAAGGUAUUAACUAUUUAAUUUAAAUCAUUUUAAUACCUAAGAUUCAGCUAACAUCCCCCCUAUAAUGAUGUUCUUAGGACUGAAUAUGAUAAAGCCUAUAAAACAAAGAGCUACUAUCAUUUCUUCAUAGAUUGAGAUCUUCUUGGAACUUAAUGCUAUCUUUCAAAACGUCUCAAAUACCUUAGUACAUCUCUAAUGAUUACGAUCAUUUUUUCAUUCUAAACGAUUACACUAAAAUGAGUUUUUCAAAAAUAAUAAUAUUUCAAGUAUAUUCUCACUUACUAUUUUUUUUUAAUUUUUAAAAACACCAUUUAAUUUUUAAUAGUCCCAUAUAUUGAGAAAAAAGAAACAUAAAAAAAUUAGGGAAAUUAUUUUCCAAUGGUACAUCAUUUUGAAAAGAAAAGGAUUAGUUUGAUGUAUUAAUUUAAUAUUCACAAUUUUACUUUUUCCUAGAAAAUGAUGUAAGUAAAAAAAAAAUCCUCAUUUUUUAAAUAUUUCCUCUCAAAAUAAGGGACCAAAAGACAUGGUUUUAAUUGUUAGAUCAUGCAAACCACAAAAAUUAUAAUUUCCUAGGCUCCUAGCUACUUGAACAAAUUGAAUCGUUGUUAAAUUGUUUAUUCAUUAAUUUAUUUUGACCAUGAUUUGAGUAAUUGGCUCAUCGCGUUGGUACUUAAUCGGGUGAUAAAUUGAUAAUGAUACGAUGAAAGACAAUCUCACUUCAAUUACGCAGAAAAUGGACAACGAUCAAUAGAAACAGAGUCACAUGCAGUCAUAUAAUACCACAGAGGCUGGUCCCAUGCGAUAUAAAUAGAUUACAACAAACACUCGUGUAGAGGCACGUGUUCUAUUUGUUCGUGUCUAGGUUCAACGUAUCUGGCAACCAUAAUAAUAAUAAUAACAACAACAAAAAAUUGGUUUUUUAGUAAUUUGCAAAAUGGUCUUGUAUAUUUUAACUGGUUUGUGAAUUGUGAAUCAAUUUUAACACUACAUGAAUAUCGGGUUUUAAUAGCACUAUACAAUAGCGUUUGUAGUCAUUCUGCUAUUGUUAGAGGACCUCUGAACUUUCAAUAGCGUUUCUACCUUGUUGAAACGCUAUGGAUAGUAUUUCACAAUUUUUACUAUGACGCGGAAGUAUAUUUAAUAGCAUUACCAUAUUAAAACGCUAUUGAAAAGGUUGGGCGCUAAAAAUUUCCCAUUCCCGCUACUACACUUAGAAAUAUUUUUGGGCAUAGUUUCUUUUUCCCCUUAGCUCAUCUUUGUCGACUUUACUCUUCAAUUUUUAGGGUUUCCUCUUUCUCUCCUCUUUGCUAUCUCCGACAGACACAAAACACAAAUUUCCGAAAAAUUUCAACCUCUUUGCUCUCUCCGCAUCUUCCUUAGGUUCUCCCAUCUUCCUUGUAUGCUCGAUCUGUUUGGGAAUCCCACUAAAUCGAAGGUAAAUCCCACUUAAUCACAAAUUUGUUCUUGAUUUGUAGAGAGAGAGCUGCGAGAUGACGAUUUGGGUUUGGGUUUGGUCGAUUUAGGAAUUUGAGGAUUUAGAAUUUGGGGAUUUAGGGAUUUGAGGAUUUAGGUAGAAUCGCUUACACAUUUGAGACUGUAUCUACAUGUUCUUUGAACUGCUUUGAGCUGCUUUGUGUAUCUUUCACAUCUUCCUUGUUAACUUGAGUCCUAACAAUUUGAAACUAGAUCUGGUCUGACAUUUACUUCAAUGUGCAGGUCGUAGUCGAACCAGUAUCCAAACACAUCACUUGUCCAGAUUGAAGGAGUCAACACCCAAGAGAAGGUAAACAGAGCCAAAUCAAAGACUAAUAAUGAAAUCGAUUUCUUUUAAUUUUUGUUGGAUUAGUAGAUUUAUUGAUUUGAGUUUAAUUGAUUUCUAUUUUUGCUUUUUCUGUUGUAGUUCGAGUUAAUCAGAAGAGAACAAACUCUAUCAGGUAUAUGAUUCUUCUAUCAGAUUACUUGUAUUGUUGUUUUGGCUUUGAAAGUGACUGCCUCUGAAAAUUACUUGUAUGCACAUUUGGUCGGAGCUCUUGUGAAAUGGAUAAAGCUUGGGUUUGGUUGCCAAGGUAUUAACUUGUUCUUACAUAUAUGCAUUGAUUUCAUUUUAUGAUUGACUGUUCUCAGUUUGUAAUGGGUACUAUUUGUUAACUUGUAGGAAUAACCUUGAGUAUGAAACAGGAGCAACUAAGUUUGUGGUUGAAUCAGCAAGUAAUUUGGGUAAUCCAUCAGAAAUGUUCUGAAAUUCAAGUAAUAUCUGAUGCAGUAGGAAACUGGGUGGCUUGGCCUAACAAGCAUAUUGUAUUCAUGUGAGCAUAAGUUUGUGUCAAAAAACAUUGUUCUAUCUCAUGGUGUAGUACUACUCUUUGUAUGAUCUUUUAAAAUGACAGGUUUUAAAUCCAGUUUUAAUUUUAAGUUUAAUUUAAAGUCUUCAUAAUUUAAAUAUUAUGAAGUACUAAUAUUAUAUAUAAUUACAAUAUUAUAUAUAAUAUUAAAAACAACAAAUAUCAAUUUUUCUAAAUGCUUAACUUUUUAAUAACACACAAAAAACGCUAUUAUAUAAUUUAUAAUAGCAGAAAAGAAAACGCUAUGUUAUAUAAGCAUUUAUAGCAUUACAGAAAAACGCUAUCUAAAGUCACUUACCUAUUAUAGCGGGCGUAUAUACAGCGCUUUCAAAAACGCUAUUAUAUCUUUAGACAGCGUUUUUCAGACGCUUUUAAUACCCGAUAUUCCUGUAGUGUAAUUGGAGUAUUAAAUAGGGUAAUAUUAGUCGAUAGCCAAAUUAGACACAUAAAUUAAGAAACUAGCAGAAAAAAGGUUUUUCUCGGAAAACAGCGAUGGACCCACGUUGUCAGAGGAUGUGAAAUAACAAAACUAUCCUCCGUUUGUUUUGAGAUCAACAGUAGGCAAGAUUGUUUCGUGAUAUUUUUCAAAAUAGCACGUAAGAUCUAAAUUUCACAUAUUAUAUUUAACUAAAAGACAUGAUAUUUCAAAAAACGUAGUGAAUUUUUAAGAAAAAACAUUUUUAUGUAGUGUUUUUUUUUUUUAAAAAACAUUGUUAUAGAAAAAUUAAACUUGAAUAGAAUUUUUUUUUAAAGAAAUAACAUGUAAUCUUAAUAAAAACCGUGAAUUACUAUAAAAUAAGAAUGUUUUUUAAAGAAAUCACAUGUGAUAAUAAUAAAAAACAUGUAUUACUACAAAAUAACAUGAUAGAGAGAUAUUAAACUGAAUAGAGUGUUUUUUUCAAGAAAUACCAUGUGCUCUUUAUAAAUAACGUGUAAUACGACAAAAUCUAUAUUAUUAAUUGGGAAGCAUUGGAUAAUAAAUAACCUUAUAAAGGGUAAAAAAUUACAAAAAAUGCCAUUGGUUUUUAAUGUUUUUAAAUAACUUCAUUAAGGGUACAAUAGUAAUCACAAAAUUAAUAUAUUUAAAUAAAAAAUAGUUUAAUUCUUUUAAAUACUUAUUAAUUUCCAAAAAAUAAACUAAUUUUCUCUCUCUUAUUAAUUAUAAACGAAAAUUUGAAAUUAAUUUUUUAAAAUUGUUAACCAAUAGGAAUUGAAAAACUAAGAUUUGAUAUCCAACUAAGAUUUUUUCUAAACCAAUCCUAAUAGACUAUUCUAUAUCAAAAAUAAAAAUAAAAAUAAUAUCAUUUUAAUUCAAAAUUAAAAAAAAACUAUCAUUUAAAAAGAUUUAUCAAUGGAGGAUUUUAAGAUUGAAUUUGAAAUUUGGUAAAAAAAUUAAAUGCAAAUAUUUUAAUAUUCAGUUUUGUUAUAAUAUUUUUAUUACAAAUUUUGAAAUAUAAAACGAAAUUUUAUUUCAUAAUUUCUAAAAAACCAUAUUAAAUAUUAACAAAUAUUUAUUUUUACUAUGAAAUAAACUCAAAUAAUAAUAAAUUUUAAGUAAUUAUCAUAAUGGUUUUCGUUUAGAGCAAUUUUCGAAAAAAUCUAAACAAUAGAAUGUACAUAUUAAUUUUGAAAUAUUUUGUGUUUUAUUUUUUUCUUUUCAACUCAGAUCUUCCUUAAAUAAUAACUAGAUGCAAAUAUUAUUUAAGGAAGAUUUUAAGAUUGAAUUUGAAAUUUGGUAAAAAAAUUAAAUGCAAAUAUUUUAAUAUUCAGUUUUGUUAUAAUAUUUUUAUUACAAAUUUUGAAAUAUAAAACGAAAUUUUAUUUCAUAAUUUCUAAAAAACCAUAUUAAAUAUUAACAAAUAUUUAUUUUUACUAUGAAAUAAACUCAAAUAAUAAUAAAUUUUAAGUAAUUAUCAUAAUGGUUUUCGUUUAGAGCAAUUUUUGAAAAAAUCUAAACAAUAGAAUGUACAUAUUAAUUUUGAAAUAUUUUGUGUUUUAUUUUUUUCUUUUCAACUCAGAUCUUCCUUAAAUAAAUCCAUAAUAUAUUGCACACAGUUUUUGAAAUUAUGUAAACUAAUUAUAUAUUUUGCAUUCAACACAAAUUAUGCAGCAAUAGCAUAUCCCUUUUAUAGAUGUAUCUAAAACUUUUAUUUUUAGUCCAAAUAUUGAACUAAUUAUGAUUAAACAAUGAAAAGAAGAAUAUGCAAAAUUUAGCUAAGGAAAGAAACAUUAAUAAAUUUGUUAAAAUAUUUGAAACUUUAACAUCAUACAUAUUAAUCCGCAAAACUCACAGUAUGUAUUUUAUGGUAUUUUAAAGUAAGCAAACAAGAAUUUGGAACAUGGUUUUAAUGGAAUGAAAUGAGAAUAAGAAUUACGAGACGGGAUGGCAGGGGAACAUAAAUUAAAAAUCAAACUUAAUACUCAACUGGUAUGAGUUUGUGUUAUGAGCACUAUAUAAAAUAAAUUUGUUUACACACAUAUUAUACGUACGUUUUUAGUUACAAUUUAUGACAGAUACGGGACCGUAAUAUUUUUAUUUCACGUAUACGAGACGGGUUAUGGGACGAAAAAUUUAUGACAUAUACAAGACGGGAUAGGUUUCCUGUUCCAAAAUUGUUACGCCUAGCUAAUAUACAUGAAAUAAUCCAAACUAAACCGAAUAUGUAUCCUAUUUAACACAUGUAAUCAAACUGUUAGAAAUGUUUUGAAUAGUUUAGAAAAUAAAAACGUAACAUCACUUAACUUUUGCAACUAAAUAAUAUCUUAAUUUUAUAUUAAAUACAAUUUCACACGUACGUGUAGGUCCGAAUCUUAAAAUUUAACUAUGCACUAACGCAACUAAAUUUCGUUCAUUGCUCUAACUUUAUAAUAUCUAUAUUAUUACAAAGUUCACUAACACAACAAAAUAUUUUAUAUUUUUAAAAUCUAUAUAACAAUUUCUAAAAAAAAUAUCUCUGCACGUACAUGUGGAUCUAAAUCUAAUACACUAAAAUAUACAUCAUAAAAACAAUAAAAUAAUCUAUAUUGUAUGAAAAUUUGUAAGAAAUGUUUUUGAAAUAUGAAACUCCGCACGUACGUGCGGGUCAGGAUCUAGUAAUAUGAUAAAAGAGAUAUAUUAUUCUAUCACUUAUAAUUCGAGAAAAAAGCAUGUUAUAAAGGGCAUGUACGUAAUUACAUGUGCUUCCCGACAUGAUACCGACAAAUUACUGUAGCGUAUGACUAUUUUCUUAAUUAUCCUCAAAAAUUUGGCUAUUUUGUGCAUAUUUCCUAUUAAAUAACAUUAGAUUUUAAAUAAUAUUUAGAAAUCACUAAACGAAUACCAUUUCAUUUUGACCAACAAUUUAUUUUUUAAUGCAUAUUACGAUGUCAUCAAAAUUUUAAAAUUCUUUAUAUGUUGAUUGAUUUAAGUUCGAUUUAAAAAUUUAAAUCAUAUCAAGAAUAAAUAUAAAAUAAUUACAGUAUUCAUAUAUUAAAUAUAUAUAUAUAUAUAUAUGCAUAUAUUAUGAUUCAAAUUUUUGAAAAGGACAUAAAUUACUCAACAUAUAACAUAAAUAGCGUAUAAAAUUCACACACGUGCAGCUUUGAAAAUUAGUGGUGAUAAUUAAGAGUAUGAUAUUUUAUGUGAUGCAAAGGGUGGUAUUUAUAGUGAAGUGAAGUUAGUUUACUGUGUGGUCUCGUCUUAUGACGAUAAUAUGGGCAACGAGGAGAUAACUCAGAUAAUAAGUGUACGUGAAUGGCUUCGAGUGAUGCAAAUGCUUUCUGGCCCCAUUAUGUUUUAUAACCGAAGAGAUAUUUCACUUACACCACUCGUUUCUUGAGCACGUUGUGACCGUGCUAAAUUUAGAAUUCGGCGUUUUGUUGUUUCAUUUUUAUUAUUAUCGUAGGCUUUUAUUCUUGUGAAUUUUGAACCAGAGUUUCGGUUUACAGAAUACUAAUUCUGUGAAGCUGUUCCACAUUAUUAGCAAAAAAAAUGUUUGUGCCUAUGAUGGACUUGGGUAAUACUUGUGUUGGCGGGAAUACUUUCUUGUAUAAUUGGCAUAUAUAACAAUGAACUACGAGGUAUUGAAAAAAUACGCAUUUGAACCUAAAUAUUUUUAGAAGACGAGUUUAUGUUUUAUAUAAGUGUCAUUUGAUCUUUUUUCUCGUAACAACUUAUUUUUAAUAUAAUAUUAGAGUUUAGUAUUUCGGUGUUAUAUACGACGUUAAGUAAUAAAUUAAAUAUUUACAUAAAAAGUAAUAUGUUACGAAAAAGUAACCAUGUUAUGAAGAAAAAGUAAUAUGUUACGAAAAAGUAACCAUAUUUCCAUAAAACUUAAACAAAACCACAAUCCAAAAAAAAUAUUCAUUAUUUAAUGGCAAUAAUUUAAAUAACUAUAUUUUUUUUUGGUUGGAUAUUUUUUUGUACCAUAUUUACUUUUUGUCGGAUUAUAAAUAUACUUUUCGUGUGCUGAUGAAACCAAAUUAUUUUGCAACAUUAACGAGUGAUUAUACAGUACAAUAAUUAAACGUGUCUUACAACAUGAAGACACAUAUUAAACUUUAAUCUACGAGAUUGUGACAUUCUGCUAUAUAUAUCAUAAACAUAUUUUACAUCUCAUAAUGUAAAACUAUAGCAAUAUUUUUGUUCCAAAUUUUUCAAAAUUCAUUUUUACUUUUAUUUAACUAAUAAGUGCUAAAUUAGUUUCCAAUACAUUCAAUUUUUUUUUUUAUUAACUUCAAAUUGUUACGUAUCAUUUCAUUUCAUGGCCACUUGAUUAAUUAUCCCUAUAAAGAAAAACAACAUUUAGUACGAAGUCUUUGUUCUUAUUAAGUUACGAUAGGAUAGACAUUUUAUUUAUGCAGCGGUGCCUAAACGGCUACAAACAUAAACGGAAAGACAUAGAUAUGCAGUGGAUACAAGGGGACAAAGACAUGAUGAUAGAUGCUUAAGAAGGUACGUAGUAGAGUGGAUUUGGGAGCUUAAAGACCCUUCCAGGAGUAUCCUCAACCAAAUCAGCCCAUUGGUCUCCAAUAUUCCCAACGAUGUUGUAUCCUUUCUUCACCAGGCUCUUCCUCACCUUUGACUUGUACACCACUUCCGGCAAUUUCGAAUGGUUUGGCCUGCGUUGCCAUAUUUAAUUAAUCCUCGAUUAAAUUGCAUAUACAUCAUACUUACUUACUGUAUAUUAUUAAGCUUACUUGAAUAUAAGAUGCUUCCAUUUUGUCACACCAGCAGCCUUGAGAUUAUCGAGAGUGACUUCUGACAACCUCUUCCAUCGGUCAGAGAUUAUGAUGGGUUCAAUCCCGAGUUCUAAGAGGUUCCUGUAUAGAUGCAAAGUCUCCGGGAGUCCUGGAGUUGAUUCUCCGGACCUUAACCACGACCAGUACGCCCCCGGGGCUGUGUUCUGUGUCCUAAGAAUCCCAAAAAAAAAAAAAAACAAAUCUACUUUAAAAUGAAAUCACAAAGUAGAUAUGGACUACAAAAGAAAAACAGUUUGUAUCAAACUAUUUAGAUUUGUCAAAUGAAACGUGUUUUUCCAUAUAUAUAUGACAUUUUCAAAUGAAGAUAAUAUUGUUAAUGCAAUGGAGAUGGUGUAGGUAGAACUAAUAACAAUAAUAUGUAUACCCGUAUCCAUAUUUGGCGUAGUAGGGGAUACUAGAGAGGAGAGUGUCGUCUAUGUCAAAUAUCCAAACAUUGACGGUAUCGUUCUUUAGGGCAAGUCCUUUGGCAUAGAAAUAAGCCUCUUUGCACACCGUUUUGGAGUCAGAUUGAUAUUGUUUGGAAGUGAUCAAGUAGUCUUCAACAUAGUCUUUGCAAUUUGCGGGCACGGUGUCGAAGUCUAUGAUGUUAGAGGUCUCAACACCAAGGUGCCAGCUUCUACAGUUGUGGUAGUUGAUGGAAAGUCCCUCUUUCUCUAAGAGUUCGGCUUCGUCCCCAAAGAUGGUGUUCGAUUCGAGGAGUUCGAUGAGCCCUGGAACGGAAGCCGAAGACCGGACGUGGGAGACCGUAGCUGCCAAGAGAAAGAGAAGUGAAAGUGAGAGGAUUUUCAUGUUUUUUUUUUUGUGGUAUGGUUUAUUGUUUAGUUUGUGAUGUUUAUUUGUGGGACACAAAGGGUGGUAUUUAUAAUGAUGUAGGGUUAGGUAUGGUUACUUAUGACGACAGAUGGGAGAUGAGGCGAUAAGUGUAUGUGUAUUUGGAUUGGUGCAACAAAUGCUACUGGUCCCAUAAUGUUUAUAAUUGACAAUAUUUUUCACUUACACCACUCGUUUUUAGAGCACGUUGAGACUGUGUGCUAAACUAGAAUUUGGCGUUUUGUUGUUUUAUUUUUAAUAUUAUCUUUGGCUUUUGUGCUUGUAAAUUUUGAAUUAGAGUCUCGUUUUAGAGAUCUUACUGUGAAGUUUUUCUACAUUACUAGAAAAAUGUGUGUGAAUAUGUCGAUGUGAGUAAACUUUUUUUUUGGAUAAUUGAUAGAGUAAACUUUUUUUUUUUUGAUAAAUAAUUGAUAGAGUAAUUGGCAAAACCAAUAAUGCAAAACGUGAUAUUCAAUAAACGAGUAAUUGGCAGCAGCCUCCCAGUGAGCAACAAGAGAUAGAUGUGUACUGUGUAGGUUGAAUCAUACGAGAUGAAAUAUGUCGAUAAGAUAAGAAAUGUGAGGUAUACACGUAUAGACGUUUUUUUUUUUUUCUUUUGUCAACAUCUUUUAAUUAAAAUUUAAAAGAAUCAUUCAUGAAGAAUGUUGUUUACAUAAGUAAUAUGAUGCGGUUUGGUAUGAAUUUUUCGUGCCAAAUUAUCCGCUUUUACAUUUGCACUACGAGGGAUUAAAAAUAAAGAGAAGCUUGAAAAUUCUUUCUUGUCGCUCUUGAAAUCUUCCAAAUACACUGCGAAUGCCGGCCAUUCGAUUGGGAAGGACACCAUCUUCACCAGGUCUGAACAGUCUGUAUAAAAAGCUACAUCUUGGGUGUAGUAUCCAAUCAUACACUUCAUUGCCCAGAAAAGAGCUUCCACUUUGGUAUGUAGAGGUGAGAGACUUCUUCGGAUAUUGGCUGCUCCCAUGGUUGGCGUCUCUCCGUUUGGUGAUGUGCAGAACCACCCUGUUCCUGAAUAUUUAUCAGUUUCUUUUCAUGAUCCAUGACAAGUAUAGACGUUAAAUAUUACACCUUUCGUUUUUAUUUAUUUCAUAUUUGGAGAGAAAAAAAAAUCUAUAUAUAAUAGCAAUCUCAAUAAAUGUCUUUUGCAGUUUUGAACGGUUGUGUAUUUUUAUCGCAACUUUCGGCUAAAAUAUUGACGGUUAUUUUUUUUCGAUUGUAUUUUUUUAUCGCAACUCUCGUUAAAAUAUUGACAGUUACUUUUUUUUGUUGACGGUUAUUUUUUCGGUUGUGUCUUCUUAUCGCAAUUUUCCGUUAAAAUAUUGUCGGUAACUUUUUUCAUUUGUGUCUUUUUAUCGCAACUUUCCGUUAAAAUAUUGACGGAUAUUUUUUCUAAGUUGUGUCUUUUUUUAUCGCAUCUUUUCGUUAAAAAAUUGACGGUUAUUUUUCUGGGACAGUUCUAUUUGUUCAAUUAUAAUCAUAUUUUUUUUCAGUUUACGGUUGUGUCUUUAUAGUUGCAUCUAUUCAUUUAAAGUUACGUCUCUUCAAUAUAUUUCAUUGCAUUUUUUCGUCACAACUUUUUGUAUGAAUAGUUGUCUAUUUAAAUGUUCGUGACUUUUGAACUCUAUAUAUUUGUCUUUCUUCUUAAGUAGUUCCCGAAUUUUUGUUCUUUAAAAUAUAUUAUUUGUUUCAUGAUAAAAAAAAAUCUAUAAAAUAGCUUCAAAUUCUUUAUUCUCUAAGCUAUUUUUAAACAUAUAUCAUUUUAAUAUUAAUAAAUUCUUCUCAAGAAGAAUGAUUAUUAAAAUGGAGAAGUUUUAAUCAACUUUAAAUGUAAAAUUCAAAUGAAGAUACCAACAAUAUUUUUCUUAGAAUUGGACGGAUUAUACAGUAAUUUUUUAUUUAACUAUUUUAUAUGGUAACAAUGAUGCUUUCUGAUAUAUCACGGAUUUUACCGAUUUUUAACCGUGAUUUACGUGUCAGUUUUAGAGUUUUUUUGUUGUUUCUAGUGUCUUUUCAAGUCUUUUCAGGUUUUUGCAAGUUCGGGACAAAAUUGGAGGAAAUGAAUCAUUUUGGAGCUAAACAGAAUAUUUGGAGCUGAAGAGACGAAUUCGGAUUCGAACCAAGGCAUUGGUGUCGACCGACACCAUACGCGGUCCAGCAAGAAAUCUCGACGGUUUAGAGUAAUAAAGCCCGCAGAAUUUACCCAUAAGACUUCCCUAUUUGCAAUUUUAGUCCCUGCACGUUUUUGAGACUUUAUAAAUAAUUUUUAAGGUUUUCUAUUUGAUUAUCUUGUCUUUGGCUUUUGUAAUUCUCUGAGCUUGAACCCUUUGGAAGAUAAUUGGAGAGAGCAACUUUUCAGAGAUUUUAUACCUUGUUAGAGAGAAGAUUUAUUCUAAACUCUUUUCUUCUUUUAAUUUCUUAACUAGAUCCUGACCCGCACGUACGUGCGGGGUUUCAUAUUUCAAAAACAUUUCUUACAAAUUUUCAUAUAAUAUAGAUUAUUUUAUUGUUUUUAUGAUGUAUAUUUUAGUGUAUUAGAUCUAGAUCCACAUGUACGUGUAGAGAUAUUUUUUUUAGAAAUUUUUAUAUAGAUUUUAAAAAUAUAAAAUAUUUUGAUGUGUUAGUGAACUUUGUAAUAAUAUAGAUAUUAUAAAGUUAGAAUAAUGAACGAAAUUUAGUUGCGUUAGUGCAUAGUUAUAUUUUAAGAUUCGGACCUACACGUACGUGUGAAAUUGUAUUUAAUAUAAAAUUAAGAUAUUAUUUAGUUGCAAAAGUUAAGUGAUGUUACGUUUUUAUUUUCUAAACUAUUCAAAAUAUUUCUAACAGUUUGAUUACAUGUGUUAAAUAGGAUACAUAUUCGGUUUAGUUUGGAUUAUUUCAUGUAUAUUAGCUAGGCGUAACUAUUUUGGAACAGGAAACCUAUCCCGUCUUGUAUAUUUCAUAAAUUUUUCGUCUCAUAACCCGUCUCGUAUACGUGAAAUAAAAAUAUUAUGGUCUCGUAUCUGUCAUAAAUUGUAACUAAAAACGUACGUAUAAGGUUAUGUGUGUAAACAAAUUUAUUUUAUAUAGUGCUCAUAACACAAACUCAUACCAGUUGAGCAUUAAGUUUGAUUUUUAAUUUAUGUUCUCCUGCCAUCCCGUCUCGUAAUUCUUAUUCUCAUUUCAUUCCAUUAAAACCAUGUUCCAAAUUCUUGUUUGCUUACUUUAAAAUACCAUAAAAUACAUACUGUGAGUUUUGCGGAUUAGUAUGUAUGAUGUUAAAGUUACAAAUAUUUUAACAAAUUUAUUAAUGUUUCUUUCCUAGCUAAAUUUUGCAUAUUCUUCUUUUAAUUGUUUAAUCAUAAUUAGUUCAAUAUUUGGACUAAAAAUAAAAGUUUUAGAUACAUCUAUAAAAGGGAUAUGCUAUUGCUGCAUAAUUUGUGUUGAAUGCAAAAUAUAUAAUUAGUUUACAUAAUUUCAAAAACCGUGUGCAAUAUAUUAUGGAUUUAUUUAAGGAAGAUCUGAGUUGAAAAGAAAAAAAUAAAACACAAAAUAUUUUAAAAUUAAUAUGUACAUUCUAUUGUUUAGAUUUUUUCAAAAAUUGCUCUAAACGAAAACCAUUAUGAUAAUUACUUAAAAUUUAUUAUUAUUUGAGUUUAUUUCAUAGUAAAAAUAAAUAUUUGUUAAUAUUUAAUAUGGUUUUUUAGAAAUUAUGAAAUAAAAUUUCGUUUUAUAUUUCAAAAUUUGUAAUAAAAAUAUUAUAACAAAACUGAAUAUUAAAAUAUUUUCAUUUAAUUUUUUUACCAAAUUUUAAAUUCAGUCUUAAAAUCUUCCUUAAAUAAUAUUUGCAUCUAGUUAUUAUUUAAGGAAGAUCUGAGUUGAAAAGAAAAAAAUAAAACACAAAAUAUUUCAAAAUUAAUAUGUACAUUAUAUUGUUUAGAUUUUUUCGAAAAUUGCUCUAAACGAAAACCAUUAUGAUAAUUACUUAAAAUUUAUUAUUAUUUGAGUUUAUUUCAUAGUAAAAAUAAAUAUUUGUUAAUAUUUAAUAUGGUUUUUUAGAAAUUAUGAAAUAAAAUUUCGUUUUAUAUUUCAAAAUUUGUAAUAAAAAUAUUAUAACAAAACUGAAUAUUAAAAUAUUUGCAUUUAAUUUUUUUACCAAAUUUCAAAUUCAAUCUUAAAAUCCUCCAUUGAUAAAUCUUUUUAAAUGAUAGUUUUUUUUAAUUUUGAAUUAAAAUGAUAUUAUUUUUAUUUGUAUUUUUGAUAUAGAAUAGUCUAUUAGGAUUGGUUUAGAAAAAAUCUUAGUUGGAUAUCAAAUCUUAGUUUUUCAAUUCCUAUUGGUUAACAAUUUUUAAAAAAAUUAAUUUCAAAUUUUCGUUUAUAAUUAAUAAGAGAGAGAAAAUUAGUUUAUUUUUUUGGAAAUUAAUAAGUAUUUAAAAGAAUUAAACUAUUUUUUAUUUAAAUAUAUUAAUUUUGUGAUUACUAUUGUACCCUUAAUGAAGUUAUUUAAAAACACUAAAAACCAAUGACAUUUUUUGUAAUUCUUUACCUUUUAUAAGGUUAUUUAUUAUCCAAUGCUUCCCAAUUAAUAAUAUAGAUUUGCAAUUUAUUCAACAUGUUUUCUGUUUCAUUAAUCAUGUCUGAGUAAUCACCCUAUUAGGUUUAGGGAUUCUCACUAAGGAUUUAGAUGAACUAGUAAAUCGAUUAACUGUUAGGAAUCCAUAGAGUUCUUCAUCUAGGUUGUUAUUAAUGCUUGUUCGAGAGUAGCUGAUCGUAGGAUAAUAGGUAUUUGAUCCGAGAGGGCACAUGUUACUGGAACUACUUUAGAUGAGCCUAGUUUAUAGGUGUGUAAUAAGAAUCGGCCUAUCUACUAAGGUGAACAUAUCAAACCUGAAUUUAAUGCUAGUCUAGACCUAGGAAUUCGCAUCGAGAGGUGGAAUUUCUGGUAUUAGGCUUGUUAGUUAUCGCAUCGAGAGGUGGUUAGCUAUUCAUUAGUGAUUUGAGUUCAAGAACGGUUCAUUAAAUAAUCCUAAUUAAUUUGCUAGAUUUAUUACUAGUUUAUUUCCUGAGAAUUUCUCUAAACCUGAAACUUUAAUCUAUUGAUCUUUUCACCUGAAAUCAUUGUUUGCUAUUGUUUUAUUUUAAUUUUAAUAAUUUUAUUUAGCCUAAUUUCGAGACUUAUAACUUAUUGUGUGAACAAAAGAACUUUGUGGAUCGACCCUUAAGUGCUGCAAUCGACCUCUUAAUAUGAGAGAGUAGGCUUUAAGAUUAAUUUGACCUGUAUCACUUUAUUCUAUCUUAAGGCAAUAUAUAUGGGUUGUAUAUAUACAACGAAAUAUUGAUGCUAAGUUAGCACUAUUACAAAGUCCGAAUAUGAGAAGACAUCCUCAUGUGACGCUUGUGAUUUGGCGCUUUAAAUGUGGUAAGCGUCAAAUAAACCAUUUUAAAUGGUAUAUAUAGUAAUCCAGAAAUCAUCUCCAUUACUAGGAAUAUUCGAGGAAUAAGUUUUUUUACUUAGUUAUUUAUGAGAUCUUGUAAAUAUUUAUUUGUUUGUUAUAGAUAUAAUUUACGUCAUCCAAUUUUAUAUUUUCUCGAAUAUUAUCAUAAAAUAAAUAUUAAUUUCUUAUUUAAAAAAAGUAAGCAAACAAAAAAAUACUAAUUCUCGGACGAAGUUCUUAGUCACCCACAAGUCGUGCUAUGUACCGACUCCAUCCAAAUUUUUGGAUUUCACCCUCUAGAAUUUUUCAUUUCUAUAUUAUAACUCUUCGUUAUGUAUUUUGUCACUUAUAAAUAAUUUUACAUUCAUAUAAAUUAUUUCAUAAGUGUUUUUAUAAUUAUUUUUUUUAUAUUUUUAUUCAUAAAUUGUUUUAACAUCUUUGGAAAAUAUUUACGAUAUAACUUUAAAACAUAGCUAAUUUUAUGUAAUAAUUUAAAUUUUGAAUAUGUUAUCAUAAUAAUUUAAUACAUAAAUACAAUCAAAUAUAUUUUUUGAAAAUGAGUUCUCCCACGACAUCGCGGUAAUUCAUACCUAGUUAUUUUAAUAAAAUAGAUAAUAUUUUCAAUUUCUAUAAUACAAAAUUAGUUAUUUUUUUCUGGGUUAUGAUGAUUUAUAUUUUGUAAAUUUUAUUAUAGAUCGAAUCGUGUUUAGAUAGAUAAUAAAUAACUUUUAGGUUAAAAAUAAACAAAAUUUAAAUGUUUUUUUUAACGGUGUACAAAAACUUUAAACAUCAAAUAUAAAAAAUUGGAGAAAUCAGUAACUUAAAUCGUAAUAAAAAAUAAGUCAAUAAUUAGCAAACAUACCUAUAUAGUUGUAUCACUAUUCACUAGUUCUCGAUAAAGAUUUGAAUAAUAAUUUUCGUGCCCGUGAUUAGGAACACUCUUUGUCAGCAAGAUUUCCCACAAAAAGUUGUAUCUUGGUGAUAGCUAUAGUUUCAACGAUGAUUGUGCUUUCCAACAAUAUAUAUAUAUAUAUAUUUAAUGCAUACCACCUCGUGACGAUAUAUUUUAAAUUAGUUUAAUAGAAAUUAUAUUUUAUAUAUUAACGAACAGUUUUGCAAAUUAAAGUUCUGAUUGGUAAAGUUUUUUAAGAGUUAGUUGGAACGGUAAACUGUUAAGGAAUAAUGCAAAAAUGUUAAAAAAAAUAUUACAAAAAAACUGUACAGAAAAUAAAGGUUUUUUUGAGGUUUUGAUAUUAUUCUUGUGAUUAGUACCACUUGUAGUACUCUCUUUUUGUUCACCAAUCAAAGCCUAACUUGUAGUGGAAUAGUAGUUUCCGCAUGAAAUAUAGUAUCUUUAUUUCGAUUUAGGUCAUAGAACGUAAAUAAAUGGUGAGAUAUAUUCAUGGAAAAAGAUAAUUUAUACUGUAUGCAUGAUUAACGAGAUUGGUAUAAUAUUGUGUUAACACAUGUAACACGCAGUCCUACAGUAAGAAAACUUUAAUCGAUGUGGUAAUUAAACAUAAGAAUUGAGAUUUUGUUCAUAUACUUAUAUAUAGUUGAAUUUUUCUUUCUUUAAUAAAUAAAAAUUGGAAGAACCAUUAACCAUCUGACAUUGGAUAUAGAAAUGACUCUUUCUGAUGCAAAAUAACUAAACCAGAGGAACCAAACAUUCAUAACAAAGCACAUAGGAUAUUAAAUUGGCCAGAACGGCGAGUUGCAAUAUGAAAGAAGAGAUGAUAUCUUGUCAUAAAGUCAAACAUGGAUUAUGAAAGACUUAGCCAUACAACAUGAAGGUUAUUCUGAAAUACCGGGAAGGAUAUUGAUGAAUGAUGAACUUUUAUAAUAAGUGGAUUGCGUAUUUUUUGAAAAAGUAUUUUGACCAUUUUCAAGCACUGGGUUACACGAUAAUGGUACCAUUAUUCAUAAACCGCAAAAUCAAAAAUGUAAAUAACCCUAACAAAAUUCCAAAUAGAACAUCCCUGAUUUUUAUAGCAACUAUACACUUAAUACGAGGACCUUUUAUUUAUUGAGUUGUGAUAAGAUGGACACUUUAUUUGAGCAGUGGCACAUAUGAGGUGAUGCAUGUAUGGGAACAAAUUAAAGACGUGAAAGUGUACGACAAGAUGCUUAAUUAGAUCUUGCAGUAGAGUGGAUUAGGGAGCUUUAAAGUCCUUCUACCAGGACUUUCCUUUAUCAAAUCAGCCCAUUGGUCUCCAAUAUUCCCAAUGAUAGUGUGGCCACUCCUCUCUAGCUUCUUCCUCUCUUCUGACUUGAAGCUCGAUACCUUCUUGUUUGAGCCUGUUGGCCUGUGUUUACACAUAUACAUAUAUCUUUCGAUUCAGUCACACAUAUGAUUAAGCUACUUUAACUAAUAUUUUUAAUUAUUAUAUAUGAUUAAACCUACUUUGAUUAUUCUUAUUUGAAAAUGACAUGCCUCCAAUAGGUGAAUCCAGCAGCUUUGAGAUUCUUUAGAGUGAUUUCCUCCAAAUCUUGGAAUCGUUCAGUAAGUAAGACAGGGCGAAUCCCGAUUUCAGGGAUGUUUUGGUAAAGAUGCAAGGUCUCUGGGAGCCCGGGAGCUUCUCCGACCACCAACCACUUCUUGAAUGUCUCCGGGUUGUGCUUCUCUGUUCUAAAAAACCAAACAAACAAAAUAUAGUUUCAAUACAAUAAAUCGAAAUUAUGUUGACAUCUAAAUAUUUUAAAAUAUACGGAAAUGAUAUUUACAAGAAAUCAUAUUAGAAUUUCAUUAAAAAUUAGACACUGUGUGAAUACAAACUAUGGUGGUUAGGCAUAAUUAAUAAUACAAUAUGUAUACCUGUAUCCAUAUUUGGCGUAAAAGGGAACAUUAGAGAGGAGGGUCUCGUCUAGGUCAAAGAUCCAAACAUUGUAGGUGUCGUUCUUUAAGGCAAGUCCUUUGACGUAGUAGUAAGCUUCUUUUCUUUGCACACCGUUUUGGAGUCGUAACGAUACUGUUGUGAAGUGGUCAAGUAGUCUUCAACAUAGUCUUUGCAGUUUGAAGGCACCGUCUUGAAGUUUAUGAUGUAGACGUCUCAACACCAAGGUGCCAGCUUCUGCAGUCGGGGUAGCUGAUGGUAAGUCCUUCUUUCUCUAAGAGUUCGGCUUCGUCCCCAAAGAUGGUGUUCGAUUCGAGAAGUUCGAUGAGCCCCGGAACGGAUGCCGAAGACCGGACGUGGGAGACCGUAGCGGCCAAGAGCAAGAGAAGUGAGAGUGAGAGGAUUUUCAUUUUUUUUUUUUGGUAUGGUUUAUUGUUUAGUUAAUUUGUGAUGUUUAUUUGUGUGACACAAAUAGGCAUGUCAAUCGGGCUAGCUCGGCCCGGCCCGGCCCGGCCCGGCCCGAAGCCCGCAAAACCCGUACAUAUUUGAGCCCGACCCGGCCCUAGCAGGGCUACAUGGCUUUUCCGGAUUUUUCUUCCGAUAACAGAAAACAAACUUAUAGUUUCUAAUAUCUCUUAAAAAAUAAUCUAUAUAUGAAACGAGUCAAUCAAAAUUUAAAUAACCACUAACGCUAAUUUAGUUUUUUAAAAAGAAAGUUAAAAUCAAAUAAAUAAUCUAAAUAAAUUGUUUAAACUUAUACUAGAUAAAAUAUAAAAUCAAAAUAAUUCAAAUUAGGUAGUAGAGCUAAUAUUUACUUUUUCGAUUUAUAGUAAUACACAACAAACAAACUAAGUUUAUGGUUUUCAACUCUAUUAAAAAAAAUUUUAACAACAAAUCUUACAAUUAAACGAAAAUAUUAACAAAAAAAAAGGGUCAAAAUAUUUUUUAGAGGGCUUUUCGGGCUAGCCCGAGCCCGGCCGGGCUAAGCCUAGAAAACCCUUUAGCCCGAACGGGCUUAGCCCGAACGGGCUUAGCCCAAAAGGCUCGGUUUUUUCUAGACAUAUAAUUUGAAGUCCGAGCCCCCUGUUUUUCAUGGCUGGGUCGGGCUAGCCCGCGGGCUUUGGCCCUAGUUGACAUGUCUAGACACAAAGGGUGGUAUCUUUCUUAUUAUAUAAAGUAUGGUUUUCAAAGUUAAUAACUCAUAGGAUCUUGACACGUAGCAAAUCUAUCGAUCUUAGAUUUUGACAUGUGUAAAACAAAAAUUUCGACACGUGUGAAACAAAAAUUUUCUUUUAUUUAUUUUUAAAAUAAUAUAAGAAAACUAUACACACAUGUCAAAUUUAUCAACGUGUAAAACCAAAAAUAAUUUAUAAGGAAGUUAUACAUAUAUAUCUUAUAUAAAAAUAUUCUAAAAAUUUUAAAAAGAUAAAUAUAAGGAUACUAGAUGUAUAUGAAAUAAAAAUAGAAAUUUAAGAAAAAAAGAAUUAAGGCAACUAUACAUAUAUCUUAUAAAAAAAAUUUAAAAGUAAAGAAGAUAAUUAUAAGGAAAAUAUAUGUAUCUUAUUAACUAAAAUUAAAAAUUAAAAAAUUAUUUACUAAUUAUAAUUUAAAGCUACUAAUUCUAAAAGAAAAAGAUUAUUAAAAAAGAUUUGUGAAAUUAUACAAUCACAUUGUAUAAUAUGGUAAUUAAAAUUUUUUCUAAUUAAUUAUUAAUCGUAGAAGAAAAAGGGUUCUAAAUACUCACAUAUAUUAAUAUAUAAUUCAUCUAUAUCUAUAUAUAAAUAAAAGAAAAAGAAUUCUAUAGAUAAACAAAUAGAUAGAUAGACAAGUUAAUGGCGAUAAAGGUAAAUUAAGAAUUAUGAACGGCGAUGGAUAUAAAAUAAAAUUGUUGUCGGAAAAGCUCGACCCGAUGUCGGAGGAGAUAAAAAAGGUGGAUAAAUAAGAGCAGUUGGGAAAAGAGGGGAAGAUGCGGUAACAAUGGUGUUGGUGUUGAUGACGGUGUUUCAAGCUUGGUGAUGGUGGCGGUAAAUAUUGAUGAAGGUGGUGGGUUGGAAUUAACGAGAUUUAGUAUUGAUUGUGAUAGUUGUGAAAUUUAGUUGUGGUGGUGGCCUGGUGGAUCGGAGUAGUGAAACUCGGUGGUGAUAUCCGACGAUGAAGAUAAACAGUGAUAUGGAAAAAGAAAAAAAAUAUGGUCUCGAAGAAAUCCAACGAGAUAGAGAGAAAGAAAAAGAAAGAGGAGAUCAAGCAAAAAUAAAAGAAAUUUAAUGAGAUAAAAAAGAAAGAUUUGAGACUUCUUGCCGGCAAGAGGAAAGAAAAAAGAGACAACAAAAAACUCAUGAGUAAUAUGAACCAAAAAUUGACAAUAACCAUAUAGCAAAUAGACAUUGUUUAGUUUAUAUUAUUUUCUUAAUUCUUUUUUAGUCUUAAAUUAUUUAGUCCAUAUUUUCUAAUUUCUUCUGAAUUUGUCUUUUUGUUUUGAGCUUUUCUCAUAUUAUCAAGUAAAAUUACAUGAUGUGGAUAUAGACUGUCUCAAUGUCACAAUUUUGUUUCCAUAUUGUCCACAUUGAAAUUAUAAAGUGUUAUACACUCUUCCGAUGGAUGUAGAUAAUUUAUUAAAUUUCAAUAAUACACAUAGGAGAAUUUAUUAAAUAUCAUAAUGUAACAUAUAAUAAACAAAACUACAAAUAGUAUUUUAUAUUGCACAUUAUUCAUAAUUAAUCUAUAUUUAAAAAAUAAUUAAAAUACUACCUUUUCUAAAAUUAAAACAUAUUUUUAUAUAAUUUUAGUUAAGCUUACAAAAAUAAAAAAUAAAAAAUGACAAUUUCGAAUGGUAACCCGUGCAACGCACGGGUCCAUCUAGUCGUAUUAUAUAAAGUAUAGUUUUCAAAGUUAAUAACUUACGAGAUCGUGACACGUGUCAAAUUUUUUUAUCUGAGAUUUUGACAUGUGUCAAAUAAAUUUUUCCUUUUAAAAAGAAAGAAAAAGUUAAAAGAUAAUUAUAAAAAAUUAUAAAUUUAAACAGUUUUAAAAUGUAAAAAGCUCAUUAUAAGAAAAUUAUACAUAUAUUUCCAUAUAAGAGUUUUUACCAUCUAACAAACAAAAUUUUUGUUUUUAGAAAGCUAAUUUUAAAGAAAUUGAACAUAUAUUUCCAUAAGAGUUUUUCCAAGAAAAAAAUUUAAAAAUAGAAAAAAAUCUUAAGAAAAUUAUACAAUCAAUUAUUAAUCCUAUAAGAAAAAGGAUUGUAAAUAGUUACCUUUGAAUAAAUAAAUAGAUUGUCUCAUAUUUUCUCAUCAAGCAAACUAAUUUCUUAACAAUGUUAUAUCAUAUCAAUUAUAAAAAAAAAAAAAUCGAAUCACGAUGAUUUUCUAAAAAUAGCAUGUAAUAUUUAGAACUAAUGAAUAUAUGGCAAUUGAGCCAAACUAAUAAUGAUGAAAGGCGAUAGACAUAGACUAGAGUUAUUGUUGGAGAGGCUUGGUCCAAUGUCGGAAGAGAUAAAGAAGAUGGAGUAAUAAAAAAAGUUGGGAAAAGAGGAUAAGAGACGGUAAGUGGUGUUGGUGUUGAUGAUGGUGGUUUAAGCUUGGUGGUGGUAGCGGCGGUAAAUAUUGAUGAAGGUAGUGAGUCGGAAUUAGCGAGAUUCGGUAUUGUUGGUGGUGGUGACUGUGAUAGUAGUGAGAUUUAGCUGUGGUGGUGGGUCAUAGUAGUGAGACUCGGUGGUGAUGUCCGACAAAUGCGAGAAAUGUAGAUAGGAAAAAGAAAAAAAUAAAGAUAUGGUGGUGAAAAAAUCAGACGAGAGAGAGAAAGAGAAAGAAAGAGGAAUUCGAACAAAAAUAGGAGAAAUCUAAUGAGAGAAACAUAGAGAUUUGAAAAUUAGAAAGAAGAGAAAACGAAGAAAUUAAUAAUAUGAGCCAAAAAAUUGACAAAAGCCAUCUAGCAAAUAGAUAAUAUUUAGUAUGAUGUUAUUUUUUUAAAAAAUUUUUAGUAUUAAGUUGUUUAGUGUAUAUUUUUUAAUUCUUUAUAAGGUUUUCUCUUUCUGUUGAGGAUAUUUCAUAUUAUCAAGUAAAGUUAAAUCACAUGGAUAUAGACGGUCUCAUAUUUUAUCCUUUUUUAUUGUCACAAUUUUAUUAUGACGUCAAACUUUUCUAAACAAAAUCAUAUAUUUACGUAUCUCAUACUAUAUGUUUACGUAUUAUAUAUAUCGUUCAUAUAUUUACGUAACUAUAUAGUUUUAUUUUUUCUUAUUGUCAUUGUUUUGUUUUUAUCUUGCCCACAUUGAAAUUGUAAGAUGUAACACACUCUUCUGAUGGAUGUAAAUAACUUAUUAAAAUUCAAUAAUACAACAUAUGAAUAUUUAUGACUUCAUAACUUAUAAUAAGUAAAGAAUUAUAUAAUUUUAUAAAUAGACUAACAUUUAUAUUAGAUGACUUAAUAAUUAGUAUAACAUAACUACAAAUAAUGUUUCAUAUUGCGUAUUAUGCUAAUAAAUUUAUAUUUAGAAAUAAUUAUGCUGCAUUUUUUAAAAUAUAUAUGUUUAUAGAAUUUUAGUUAAGCUAACAAAAAUAAAAUAAAAAUGUUAAGAAUGAUAAUCUCGACCUGCAAUUCGUGCAACGCACGGUCUAUAUCUAGUUUAUAAUGAAGUAGGGUUAGGUAUGGCUACUUUUAUGACGACAGGUGGGAGAUGAGGAGAUAAGUGUACGUGUAUGUUUUGGAUUGGUGCAACAAAUGCUACUGGUCCCAUAAUGUUUAUAAUUGACAAUAUUUUUCACUUACACCACUCGUUUUUAGAGCACGUUGAGGCUGUGUGCUAAAACUAGAAUUUGGCGUUUUGUUGUUUAUUUUAAUUCUUAUCUUUGGCUUUUGUGCUUGUAAAUUUUGAAUUAUAGUUUCGUUAGAGAAUACUAUGAAGUUGUUCUACAUUACUAGAAAAAUAUAUCUGAAUAUGUUGAAUUGUUGAUGUGAGUAUAACUCAUGUUUGCGGAAAUAAUUUAAACUUUUUUUUUUGAUAAUUGGCAAAGCCAAUAGUGCAAAACGUGAUAUUUGAUAAACGAGUAAUUGGCAGCAGCUUCCGCAGUGGGCAACAAGAGAUAGGUACGUGUAUUGUGUAGGUUGAAUCAUACGAGAUGAAAUAUGUCGGUAAGAUAAGAAAUGUGAGGUAUGCAAGUAUAGACGUUAAAUAAUACGUCUGAAUGUUUUACAUUGUUACAUAUCACAUAGCUUUUUCCUCUUGAUGAAAGCCUUCCUCAAAUUCGAGAAAUCCAUCAUGAAUGUUUGAUCUAGAUCCAUUUUUGUUCCAAGUUAUUAAACAAGCUUUUUAAUGAAAGCCUUUGAUUUAGACUCUACCUAAAUGUUUGAUUUCAGAACAAUUCAAACCAUUUUUAUAUGUUUUUUUUUUUUUUUUUUUUUUUUUUUUUUUUAGAAAACGAACCAUUUUUAUAUGUUUACCGAUGAAAACAUAGCUACCUACCAAAAUAUCCAAAUAUUUAGUACAAAACCUUCUUGAAUAUAUUUCAAAACAAGUUUUGUGGUGAAAACCGUUCAAAAUAUUUUUGAUAUCCAAGAUUCUAAUAAGAAAACAAUAAAUACCAUAUGAAAACAAGUAAUCAAACUCAAAAUACUUCAACCUCAUUUAGCAUGUAUAGAUGUCAAGUGAAACCUUCAAUCUUGUAUCUUAUAACUACGUGUUCUACUUCCUCCACAUAUGUUGAUUUGGUUCUUUCCCACGAUCAUAUAACUUUUUGGCAAUGGAACCAUCAGAUUAAAAUAAUCCCCAUGUUUUACCAUGCCAAAAUGUUUUUUUUUUUUUUUAUAAAUCCUAUCAGCGGAUCCGGUUAGCCCCGAUAGAAAUGCACCGAAGUGCUUUAGAGUGGACUUCUUCCCGAAGGACCACCACACUGUCUGUCCCGAGUUUAGAAUGUUUUCCGACUAAUGGCAGGGGUAGCCAGAUCGCCUGUUACUGGACUACCAGAUAAACUGCCUGAGCCUUUGGCCCAAGCGACUUCCCACACAGAUUUGCUUUUUGUUUUCAGAGUGGAUCGAACUUGGGUUAGUUCCUUCAAACAUUUCUCCAAUUCCCAACUACCACUGGACCACAGCUGUGUAGGCUACCCUCCAAAAAUGUAUGAGACAAGAUUAAGGGAGACCUUCCAUAAUUAUAUGGAGUUCUUUUUUUUUUUCUUUUUGAAUUUUAAAAUCGCCAAAAAUUAUCAAAAACAAGCCAUAUAUGUUCAUAUAAAUUCAACGAGCAAUAGCAAAAUCUUAUUCUGAACACAUUUACAAGACAAAACAAAUCUUAACCAAGUCACCAAACCAAGUUUAAUAUAUAAACUAUAACAUAAGCAAACAAACAAGUCUAAUAAUCGUGAUAUGUAUAAACUAAUCUCCUCUAUAAACAAAUGGGAAUACGUUUAAUAUAGUAUCACAAACAAAAGUAGUAAACAUAUUGUUCAUGAAAUCAGAAUCUAAACGUCAUUGGAGUACAAACCAUUGCAUUUUCAUGAAAUCAAAACCUAUAAAAAUAACAUUCAAUUAUGCUAAGCAAUCAAUCUACUUUAAGAUCGACACAAAAUGAAAGAUGAGAAAAAAUGGGUACUAACUUGAAUUAAUAAGCGCUUUGUUACAGAUCACGUUGGAGAUAAACUUGAAUUUUUACCACAAAUUGAAACAGUUUGAGAAAAAUGAAAGCCCGAAAAACUCUUUCUUCUGUUGUUUUAGAAUCCUAAAUCGAAACCAAAAUCAAAAUAAGAGUUUCACAUCCCGAUCGGGAAUUGAUUUGUUUUAGUAUCGAAACCAAAACUAAAAAAGAGCUUCCAUCAAUGAAGCGGUUAGAAAAUCUUAUUAUGAAAUCGAGCUUGUAAGUGCACUCUAUACCAGGAGCUCAGAUAAGUGCACAAGUUGCCGGAACAGGAUUGAAGCUGUUCUUGGAUACAGGAGUAAUGACUAAGUAAUUGUCGCUGACGUGGAAUAGGCGCCAAAUGAAUGAAUGACGUGGUGAUCACAACAGGAUAAGUUCAGUUUGGCAAGAAGAUAUUCGAUGGAGAUUUGGAGAGAUCCAAGAUCGAGAAGACUAAACCUAGAAGAUCUGAAGACCUCGUGAAUAUAAAAGGGGUGCUAAGGCUCUUGCUAGGGUUAGCCGUUUCUGAAGCAAAAAAAGUAUCGCAAGCUUUUUUGUUCUGUUAGAGAGUAAGCUUUACUCUGUUUGAGUUGCAAGAGAGAUUAGAGAGUGUGUUCUUGUAAUUCUCUUGUGAGUCUUAGAAAUCUCAGGUGACAAGCCAAAAGUAGUUUUAGGUCUUGUGUAAAACCAGUUAAGAGAGUUGUAUCUUCUUAACCAGAUUUCUAAUAAAGUAAUACUCAGUGUUUCUGAGUUUGGGAAAUACGGUUCUGAGUUCAUCCAAAUUUCACUUGGUAUCAGAGCAGGCAUCUGAACUAAGUUGAGAUCAUACAUUGUUAAGAAGAUACAACUCUCUUAACUGGUUGAUAGUGAAUCUGAAGAUGACGAUUCAGAUGAUGAUGUGAAAGGUUUCGUUUCCUUUAUAGGAAUCAUAGAAGAAAACUCUGACAGUGAUGUAGAAGACAGAGAUAGUAUUGUCCAAGCUGAUGAUGAAUCAGAAAUGGAGAAGGAUCUUGAUAUUGAUGGACAGUUCAGGAAAAUGUAUGACAACUGGUGUCUUCUGAGUAAAGAGAAGAUUGCUUGGAUGGAAGAGAAGCUAGCAAUUUUGGAACUAAAUGAAAAACUGAAAGCUGACUUGGCUCUGGAGAAUCAGAAGAAUAGUGAACUCGUUCAGAAACUCGGGUUGGAAGAGGAGAAUGUCAGAGUGCUUACUCAAGAACUCAGCGAUACCCGCAAGAAGAUACACAUGUUGAACAGUGGAACAAAGGACUUGGAUAGCAUCUUAGCUUCUGGAAGAACAGGAAAAUCCAACUUUGGAUUGGGGUAUCAAGGAGGAGAAACAAGUGGUAAGACGAAUUUUGUUCGAAGCAAAGCUGUACCUGGUGUUCGAAGUCAGACAUGAUUCAGAAACCAGACCAGAGCUGUUCCAGCAAGACAACAGUAUCAGAACUACAAUUAUCGUCAGACAGGGUUUCAAAACCAGACUGGAGCUGUUCCAGCAAGACGAUAGUACCAGAACUUCAAUCACAGUCACUAUCACAGGUCAGUGACAGGUUACGAAUGCUACUACUGUGGACGACAUGGUCACAUUCAGAGAUUCUGCUACAGAUAUGCAGCUAAGGUAAACCAGCUGAAACGACAAGGUAAGCUCUAUCCACAUCAACACAGAGCUUCAAAGAUGUAUGUUAAGAGGGACGAUCUGUACUGUCAUGUAGCAUACAUUUCAGCUGAAGCAGGUGGGUCAAGGCCGUGGUACUUUGACAGUGGAGCAUCUCGACACAUGACGGGAAGUCAUUCUAAUCUUAACAACUACACUACUGUUAAGGAGAGUAAAGUCACAUUCGGUGGUGGAGCUAAAGGAAGAAUUAGAGGAAAAGGAGACUUGACUGAAGCUGAGAAACCGCAACUCACAAAUGUUUACUUUGUGGAGGGACUUACUGCAAAUUUGAUAAGUGUAAGUCAGCUAUGUGAUGAAGGAUCAACAGUGAGCUUCAACAGAGUCAAGUGUUGGGCUACAGAUGAGAAGAAUCAGAAUGCUCUUUCAGGUGUUAGAACCGGUAACAACUGCUACAUGUGGGAAGAACCAAAAGUUUGUCUUAGAGCUGAAAAAGAUGACCCUGUCUUAUGGCAUCAACGCCUUGGCCACAUGAAUGUCAGAAGCAUGUCCAAGCUGGUCAAUAAGGAAAUGGUUAGAGGUGUACCGGAGUUAAAGCAUCUUGACAAGAUCGUGUGUAGUGCUUGCAACCAAGGAAAAGAGAUUAGAGUUCAACACAAGAAGGUGGAGGGAGUGCAGACCACUCAAGUUUUAGAUCUCAUUCACAUGGAUCUAAUGGGACCAAUGCAGACAGAAAGCAUUGCCGGAAAGAGAUAUGUUUUUGUCUUGGUUGAUGACUUCUCACGUUAUACUUGGGUAAGAUUUAUCAGGGAAAAAUCUGAGACUGCCAACAGCUUCAAGAUCUUAGCUCUUCAGCUGAAAAAUGAGAAGAAGAUGGGAAUAAAACAAAUCAGAAGUGAUCGCGGAGGUGAGUUUCUAAGUGAAGCCUUUAACAGCUUCUGUGAGUCUCAAGGAAUUUUCCACCAAUACUCAGCACCUAGAACUCCACAGUCUAAUGGUGUUGUUGAAAGGAAAAAUCGAACUCUUCAAGAAAUGGCCAGAGCCAUGAUUCAUGGGAAUGGAGUCCCUGAGAAGUUUUGGGCUGAUGCCAUUAGUACUGCAUGCUAUGUCAUAAACCGAGUGUAUGUCAGGAUAGGGUCUGAUAAAACUCCCUAUGAGAUCUGGAAGGGGAAGAAGCCAAAUCUAAGUUACUUCCGAGUAUUUGGAUGUGUCUGUUACAUCAUGAAUGAUAAGGAUCAGCUGGGAAAAUUUGAUUCUCGCAGUGAAGAAGGUUUCUUUCUUGGUUAUGCUACCAACAGUUUGGCAUAUCGAGUUUGGAACAAGAGGAGGGGAAAGAUAGAAGAGUCAAUGAACGUUGUCUUUGAUGAUGGAAGUAUGCCCACUUUGCAAAUAAUUGCAAGUAAUAGUGGUGAAGCUCACAACUUAACUCCAAGGAUCCAAGAAGUGGAAGGAAAUGAGAAUCAAAAUGUCAGUGAAGCAAAUGAAUCAGAAGAAGAAUCUGAUGAGGAAGUUCACUCAAUCCAAGUACACCGUAAUCAUUCUGCUGGGGAUGUAAUCGGAGAUCUGAAUGGUGAAAGAGUAACAAGAGGGAUAAAACAGAACUACAGACAAAUGGCUUCGUUUGCAGGCUUUGAAGAGAUCAUGUUUUCAUGUUUUGUUUCCAUGACAGAACCUAAGAAUGUCAAAGAAGCUUUGGAUGAUCAUUUCUGGAUUCUUGCAAUGGAGGAUGAAUUAGAAGAAUUCUCAAGAAAUCAAGUUUGGUAUUUGGUUCCAUGGCCUCCAAAAGUGAAUGUUAUUGGAACUAAGUGGAUCUUCAAAAACAAAAGUGAUGAAGAAGGAAAUAUCAUCAGAAACAAAGCUAGGCUCGUGGCACAAGGAUACACUCAAGUUGAGGGACUAGACUACGAUGAAACCUUUGCUCCGGUUGCAAGGCUCGAAUGCAUAAGGUUUCUUCUUGGCACAGCAUGUGGUAUGGGGUUUAAACUGCAGCAGAUGGAUGUCAAGAGCGCCUUUUUGAAUGGCAUCAUACAGGAGGAAGUGUAUGUAGAGCAGCCCAAAGGAUUUGAGAGUCUUGAGUUUCCGGAUCAUGUGUUUAAAUUGGAAAAAGCUCUGUACGGUUUGAAACAAGCACCUCGUGCAUGGUAUGAGAGACUUACUACUUUUCUGACAGUGGAAGGAUACAUACGUGGGAGUGUUGAUAAGACUCUGUUUGUCAAAAGGGAUAGUCAUGGGAUGAUCAUCAUACAAAUUUAUGUAGAUGAUAUCGUUUUUGGAGGAACAUCCGACAAACUUGUCAAAUCAUUUGUAAAGGCAAUGACAACUGAGUUCAGGAUGAGUAUGGUAGGAGAACUCAAGUAUUUUUUGGGGUUGCAAGUGAACCAGACGGAUGAAGGCAUUACCAUCUCACAGAGCACAUAUGCCCAAAAUCUUGUAAAACGGUUUGGAAUGUGUUCUAGCAAGUCCGCCAGAACUCCCAUGAGUACUACGUUGAAACUCUCCAAGGAUGAGGCUGGUGAAAAGGUGGAUGAAAAGGCAUACAGAGGUAUGAUUGGAAGUCUCCUCUAUCUCACUGCAAGUAGGCCGGACUUAUGUCUCAGCGUAGGACUGUGUGCAAGAUAUCAAGCCAAUCCCAAGGCUUCUCACUUAGCAGCUGUGAAGAGAAUUGUCAAAUAUGUGAAAGGAACAGUGAACUACGGGCUUAGUUACACCAGGGAUACUAGUCUGGCACUAGUUGGCUACUGUGACGCUGACUGGGCAGGGAAUCUUGAUGAUCGUCGGAGUACUACUGGUGGUUGUUUUUUUCUAGGAAACAAUCUCAUCUCAUGGCACAGUAAGAAGCAAAAUUCUGUAGCACUGUCUACAGCCGAGUCUGAAUAUAUUGCCCUUGGCAGCUGCUGCACUCAACUCCUCUGGAUGAAACAAAUGGGCCUGGAUUAUGGUAUUUCAUUUCCUGAACCUUUACUUGUUAAAUGUGAUAAUCAAAGUGCAAUUGACAUCUCUAAGAAUCCUGUGCAGCAUUCUAGAACUAAACACAUUGAGAUAAGGCAUCAUUUUGUUAGAGAAUUAGUUGAAGAGAAACAAGUUAUCAUAGAACAUGUACCCACUGGAAUCCAACUUGCUGAUAUUUUCACUAAGCCUUUAGACUUUGACACGUUUGUGAACUUGCAAAAGUCCCUGGGUGUUUGUGAACUCUGACUAUCUUCUCGUUGAGUGUUUGUGCUGAAACAGGGUUGGUUGUACAGUGAGAAGUGUGUUUUUCAAAAUAUUUCUGUGAUUCACAAGUGUUUUGUUUAAAAUUUUUUGCUGAAAAGUUCAUCAAGAGAAAGAGCUACCUAUCAUGUGUUGGAGCUGCAAAGUCAGUAAAUUGUGUGAUGGACAAUGUGUGUAGAGCAUUCAGGAAGGCGUGAAAUGCAGAAAGGAGCAGAAAAAGCAUUUCAUGUCAUAAGAUGAAGCAUGAGCUUAUCUAAGUCACGGGGGACAAAGGAGAAAUCUUGUCACUAACCCGAGGGAACAAAGGAGAAAUCUUGUUUACCUAACAAUAUGUGAGAGGAGCAAACAUCAAUCAAAAUAAAAGAGGUUCAAAAGCAGUCUUGUCAUAAAAAAAAAAAAAAGGAACUGUUGUCCUCUGGUUGCAAUCUUCUCUCACUGCAGAAAGGAGCAGUAAGAUGCACAUUCACAAGGUCUGAAACGCUUUCUCAGCCUUGUGGUUACAUAGAGCCUGAAUGCUGCUGCACAGUCUAUCACAUUCCUUGUCAAAGGACUCGCUAGCUCUCUGAUCCAUGACAGUGUGAAGACUACUCUUGAAGAAUCAACAUUCUCAUAUGUGUUGGAACAGCAGAUUAUGUGUUUUAAAAAAAAAAAAAAAAAAAAAAAAAAGGAGCUUCGCACUGUACAAUUAGCUUUGGGACUGCACAGAUGUCAACAUGUGGAAGAGACGGUUGCUGUUCUGAGUACACUGAUAGGGACUUGUUCUAUGUCAAUCACUGUCUUGCGUCAGAAAAUUGAGUUGGAUCUUCAGAGGUACCGUGUUUAAAAAUUUUUUUUAAAAAAAUUAAGAACUCUGUGUGUUUCUUUUAGUGCUUUCUCUGAUUGAUUCUUGAUUAAACCGGUUUUAUACCCGGUUAGCACUAAUUUUUGGUUUUGAGUUUUUUGUUUGUCUAACAGGAGAACACGCGGGAUAUCACAAGUUUUUGUGUUUCUUUCUCUUUGAGAGUCGUUCCCAAUUCCUCUCUCAAACCCUAGCCAUGGCGAGAACUCGCGCUGCUGCUAAGCGCUCUCAUCCCGAUCGAUUGGAGCUCAAUGAUUCCGACAGCUCAAUUGAGGAAGUUCCCCCGAAAGCAGCCCUUCGAUCCUCGAGUUCUGCUCCGCCACCAGAUGCUGCGGCUGACUCCGGCCCUGCUCCGUUAGACAAAUCGAUGCCAUCUUCUUCGAAAGCGGCUGGCCACAAAUCUGCACCGUCCUCCUCGCAUCCCCCAAUCAACGAUCCGGUGCCAGAUCUGCUGAAGAACUUCAUGAAGACCCGCGGGAACGUUCCGUACGACUCAUCAGACCGCUGCAGCAUGCACCGCUAUCAUCAGGCAAAGAGGGAUGCGGCUGACCCUUCGAUUUGGAAGCUGCCCUAUGCUCCGAUGAACUUUCGCUUCCUCACAUCUCAGGGAAUUGAAAGGUACAAAGAUUUCACACACCGUGAAUUUCAUGACCAGAGGUAUGUUCCGCGUGGUCCUGCUAGUACUACUGAGAUGAUGAAAUUGAUAGAGGAGAAUCACCUGUCUGACACUGUUAGUGAGAUUGAUCCGUAUGUCAAAGAAGUUGUGCUGGAAUUUUACUCAAAUUUCCACAUAUUCAAUGAGGUAACCAAGAAGUCGCCUGUGUUUGUUCAAGGGAAAAUGUACGAAUUCUCACCACAGAUGAUCAACAAAGCGUUUCGUACUCCUGCUAUCAAGUGGCAUGCCAAGGCUGAGUAUGAAAGAGCUGCAUUGUCGAAGCAUGCCUUGGCUAAGUAUCUGUCAGAAGGUAAAGUUGUUACCUGGAAGGACCUGCGUACUCCUGUGAUGCCUACACAUCUGGCUGGCCUGUACUUGAUUUGCUGCAUUAAUUGGCUUCCAUCAAAGAACAAUUCAAAUGUGACAAUUGAUCGGGCUAAGCUUUUGUAUCUUAUCAAUGAGAAAAUCCCUUUCAAUUAUGGGAAGCUGGUAUAUGAUCAAGUGGAAAGAGCUGCUCGCUUUCCAGGUCAGAUUCUAAACAUUCUGCCAUUCCCGAACUUGAUCUAUCGGGUACUUAUGUUUCAGAGGGAGAUUACCUUGGAGAACUUUGAAAAACCUGAUCCACCUCCAAAGAAGUUCAAUCCAGAAGUGAGAGGUGGUAUAGAUCACCCAAGACGUCGAGGAGAGUAUGUGUUUGGAACCUCAUUGGCAGGAGACCUGAGACACGCAUCCACUCUCCUGCUGAACAUGGCUGUUCGGUUGGAAGGUACGUUUUCAAGUUUCUUUACUGGAGUCUUGAGUGCAUAGGUGUAAUCCUGGUAGAAGUUUUGUUUUUGACUCAAUUGUGUCAUACAAGCAGGGGGAGAUUAUGGGUUAGUACAGCCUUCUUCUGAUCAGUCUCAGGGUGUGAAUGCUGAUGCCGAGGCUCAAGGUUCUGAACCUGAAGCUGAUGACUCUUAUGCUGAGCCCGUUGAUGAAGGCUGGCCUUCAGAGAACUCUAAUUCGGAUUCAUUUGUGGAUUCAUUGGAUGUUGACAAUGAAGAAGGGUUUGAAGACACUCAGUCAGGAUAAUAUAGACUAGUUUUGGAGACUGAGUGGUCUAGGAUUUAGGGGGAGUCUUAACUUUUGGCAUUACUUCGGAUUGUUUUUGUAUGUAUGCCAUGUUUUCUCUGUUUUUCAGUAUCUUGCGAACAAGGAUCCUGUGUCUGAAUAUUUUUCGGAGUUAAGACUUAAUUUUAAUAAUUCCGCUGUGCCUUGUUUUUCGUUGAUAUGAUGUGUGCUUGUGAAUCUUGAGAGAAUCAUUGCAGGAUGGCUUGAAUUGACAAAUUGAAUCAAAAAGGGGGAGAUUGUAAGUGCACUCUAUACCAGGAGCUCAGAUAAGUGCACAAGUUGCCGGAACAGGAUUGAAGCUGUUCUUGGAUACAGGAGUAAUGACUAAGUAAUUGUCGCUGACGUGGAAUAGGCGCCAAAUGAAUGAAUGACGUGGUGAUCACAACAGGAUAAGUUCAGUUUGGCAAGAAGAUAUUCGAUGGAGAUUUGGAGAGAUCCAAGAUCGAGAAGACUAAACCUAGAAGAUCUGAAGACCUCGUGAAUAUAAAAGGGGUGCUAAGGCUCUUGCUAGGGUUAGCCGUUUCUGAAGCAAAAAAAGUAUCGCAAGCUUUUUUGUUCUGUUAGAGAGUAAGCUUUACUCUGUUUGAGUUGCAAGAGAGAUUAGAGAGUGUGUUCUUGUAAUUCUCUUGUGAGUCUUAGAAAUCUCAGGUGACAAGCCAAAAGUAAUUUUAGGUCUUGUGUAAAACCAGUUAAGAGAGUUGUAUCUUCUUAACCAGAUUUCUAAUAAAGUAAUACUCAGUGUUUCUGAGUUUGGGAAAUACGGUUCUGAGUUCAUCCAAAUUUCAGAGCUUACCUUGAGUUUUAAAUCCAAAAUGGAUGACGGGAUUAGGUUGCAGUGAGAGAGGGUGAAAAAGAUUUAUAGGUUUUGUGUAGAAAAGAUGAUGAUUGCGAGAAUCGGGCGAGAAUGUGAAAUGGUAACGAAAACAGCGAGCACGAGAACCCGGCGAAGCGACGAGAAUCCGGCGAUUUUUAGGUCAUUAUUAUGGCAACGAGAAUCUGGCGGUUUGAGAUAUGUUUUGGCAAUUUCGUCAAUUGUGGCCCGUUUGGUCUUUGUGGCUCAAUAACGCAUCUUUGAAAAUUGCCGGUUAGAUAUAAACUUGUGUUAUAUGUUGAAUUUCAGAAUUUUGGUGCUAAAUUUGGAAAUAAAAUAUAAUAUUGUGCUAUUUUGUCAAUUAUCCAAAAAAAUAUAUUCAAUGGCAAUAAUUUAAAUAAUUGUUUUUGUUGUAUAUUUAUUUCUUUUUAAUUAAUAAUUUUGUUUUAUUAUUGAAGAGAAAAAGUGUAGGACCCACAUAUCUGAAAAAUGAAACAAAAAUUCCUACAAAUUGUAAAACAUAUUGAAGAACAAAGAGGAACAUGAUAUUCCUACUUAUUUUUUCCUUAAAAAUGGUUAUCAAUUCGAGUUUUACUUUUUUGUAGGAUUAUAUAUUUCUCCCGUGCAACAUCAACGAGUGAUAUUCUUAUUUUUUAUACUGUACAAUAAUUAAACGUGUUUUACUUUAAUCUAUGAGAUUGUGACAUUAUGCCAUACAUCAUAAACAUAUUUUACAUCCUAUAUUGCAAAAUUAUAGCAAAAUUUUUGUUCCAAAUUUUUCGAAAUUCAUUUUUGUUUUAUUUAACUAUUAACUGCUAAAUUAUUUUUUUUCAAUUCACUUUGUUUUUUCUUUUUAUUAAAUUCAAAUUGUCAUGGCCAGUUGAUUAAAUACUUCCUAUAAAGAAAAACAACAUUUAGUACAAAGUCUUUGUACUUAUUAAGUUACGAUAGGAUAUCACAUAUACAAACAACAUUCCUUACGAAUAACUUUUUUGAACUCUAAUUAAUUUAGGAUAACAAGAAAAAAAAAAGAUAUGAUAGACAUUUUAUUUAUGCACCGGUGCCAAAACGGCUACAAAGAUAAACGAAACGACAUAGAUAUGAAGCGGAUACAAGGGGACAAAGCCAUGAUGAUAGAUAGAUGCUUAAGAAGGUACGUAGUAGAGUGGAUUUGGGAGCUUAAAAACCCUUCCAGGAGUAUCCUCAACCAAAUCAGCCCAUUGGUCUCCAAUAUUGCCAACGAUGUUGUAUCCUUUCUUCACCAGGCUCUUCCUCACCUUUGACUUGUACACCACUUGCC